UUCAACCAAUUUCUUCUUUAUUAACUCCACUGUUGGGUCUGCUAGUGUAUGAACAAGACCUAGAGUCAUAAAAGAAGUCAUCCCCAACUCUUGCUCAGUAGGUACAAGCCAUGGAUGCAUAACCUAUAAAUAAAAGUAUAUAUAUUUAAAUCAAGUAAUACUUUGAAGUCAGUUGGGUAAUAUAUUAACACAAACAACAGAUGAACUUUUUGUUGUAACAGAUGAUUCAUCUGUUACGAUAGAUUAACCAUCUAUUACAAUAGACUACCCAUUUGUUGCAUAAGUUGCAGUAGAUGGUUAAUUUGUUAAGUCAGGUUUUGAGAACCAAAUCAAUAGAUGAGUAAUCUGUUGCAAAAAAUUACUUAUCUAUCUCAACAAAUUACCUAUUUGUUGCACUAGUUGUAAUAGACAGGCAAUCUAUUAAGAUAAAUUACAACAGAUGGUUCAUUUGUUGCAACAGAUGGCCCAUCUGUUUCAAUAUCUUUCUUUGAGUCAAAUUGUUCUACUUGAAAGAAGACUUACUGCAUCAUCCGAAGGGUUAAAGAGAUCAACCUCCUUAAGUUUGUGUUGCUCUUUGCAUCCAACCACCUACGGAUCCUUGGAUGAGAAAACUCAUUCGGGUAAUCCUUGACUUGCUUUUGGAGGUAAGGAAUGGCUUCAAAUACCCAAGCCUAAAAAUGUAAACAUGAAGCAAAUGAAAAAAGUCAUAAUAAUUAUUCAAUAAAAAUUAAUACAAGCGUAAAUAAAUUAUGAUUAAAUUUACCAUGAAAGCUUAAGGAAAGUCGUAUAAGCUGAUCGUCUUUGGGAAUAGUUUUGUCAAUAAAUAUUUAACAGUCAACUUAUAGAUUUCAUAUCCCUGGGAUAAAUGUUAAAUUUAUCCAAACCCAAAGCAAGCACUAACAAAUCAUCUUCAAUGACUUUGUUGAUAUCUCUUGGCAAUAUAACGGAAUGGACAAACCAAACUAAGCACAAUUGCUCCCUAUACUUCUUUGGUAUGUUUUUAUUCUUGAGAUCAUCCAUCAACCUCGUGGCUCUGUAGCCAUGUCCAACAAUUUCCAACAACCCAUCUAUUUUUUCAUUGCCUUUGUUGGUUUUGGUGGUUGGUAGCUUGGACAAUAUGUUGCCUUUAUUUGAUGGUAGUGGUUUGACUGUCCUGCUUUGAAAUGACCCAAACUAGGGAAUUGUCAUAAUGGUCAAUCCCAAGCCCAACCAGGACCGGGGAACCACCCCCGUUACCCAAUCCGACCACCAAACGCAUACCUUGAGUCGUCUAAAGUCCGAACAUAUAACAAGAUAGCGUAUUCACCCAUAUGGUGACUCUGGGAUAAGUUUAUAUCCGAGACCAACCCAAGAAAGUCCAACCACUAAAUAACCAACCCAAACCAAUGUGGAAACCAUAAUCCAAUAUCAUGAUAGUAAGUCAAUGUAUGUAUAUAUAUGAAACAUAACCAAUCCAUACCAUAACCAAGUCCACAGUUGUCCAUACAAAGCCUUUAACCAACCAAAGAGUACCUAGUUGGGACAUGCCUCCAACCAUAGCCAAAAACCAAAGUCUAUGAAAAAUAAGAGAUAUGUAAAGUAACCCAUGACAUAAAAUAGAUGCCUUCCGAACUAUGAAAGUUCUCCACUUCAAUCCAACAUCGAUAGUCCCCGAAUUAGAUCACUAAGAAUGAGAAGUAGAAUGGUCGGUCCCUGCAUAACGUGGGUAUACAGCCUCCCGAAGACAGGUUAGUAGGUGAACACUAGCAUACACUAAGGAUAGGGAUAAAAUCAUACCAUUUAUAAAACCAAGUAAAACCUUCCAUAAUGCAUACAACCAUUCAUAUAUACAUAACUAUGUCGGGAAAGGGAACUGGAUUUAACAUGCCUUGAAAACCUUUAUCUGGGCUGUGUAGCUUUACUAUCCUAAACUACUUACGAGCUAUAUGGGUUCAGCUCCCCUACUGAAAGGGCCCUAGUGCGUGUAGCCGCACGGCCAGGAAAGAAACCCUUGGGAUGACUAGUACAUCCUCCAAAUAUAGUGUGACAUCAAACACAUGGUCACCAAGACCAACCUCAUAUCGACAAAUAUGAGUUUCCAGUUUUGGUCCCCCAGGACCUCUACCUUCCACGACUUUGCUACACAUCCCGCCAUUAUUGCGCAAUUAAAACCAAUUUCCAAAUAACCAAUCCAUUUUCCAUUUAUUAACCAGGACAUUGAUAUUGGUAUCGUCAUACCAACACUUACUUACAAGUAUCAUCCAUAGCCAACCAUAUAGAGGUUUUAGGGGACUUUCAAAUGCCCUUCCAUUUACCAUGUUAAACUACUUGGGGAAUUCCAUGUGGCCCUCAAUCAUAACCAUUAGCCAUUUACCAUUCCAAUCCAUUUAAAUCAUGCGUAAUUCCUUUACCAAGUUUUAAAACAUACAAGAGUUCCAUUAAAAGUAGUCAAUGCUAUGAAAAUAUCUUUAUAAGCAUUUUGUCAAACACAUUGGGGUCAUAAUAUAACCAAAACCAAUUCUAUUAAUGCAUUAACUUGAGGAAUCUCCUUGUAUCCCGUAAGAGCUUUAAAAUAGACCAACUAUGACCAAAAAAACCUUUACCCUUUAAACUAUUCCAAUCUAUUUUAGACCAUGCCAAACAUUUAAAGCAUUUAUAUCAUUUAAACCAUUUAAUCCAUGCAAAACCAUCCAAAUCCAUUUAAGGUUCUAUUACUAAACCAAACUACGCAAGAAUUCCAAUAAAAGUUCAACAAUAAAGUCAAAACAUGCUUUGAGACAUUUUAUCAAACAUGUUGAGGGCAUACCUUUACCAAGACCAAAAUCAAUGCAUAAACCACCAUAAUUAGGGUUACUCAAGACCCAUUUGUUAAAUUAUUACCAACCAAUAACCAUAUAUGCAAACCAUUACCAAGAACAUAGUUUAAACCAAAACCAUACCAUAUGCAUCAUGAUUCAUAAUUCAAUGUUCAACAUAUAUUUCAAAAACCCCAAUUCAUGAUUCAUAAUUCAAUGUUUAAAACACAAUGUACAUGCCUCUAGUUUGAAAUAACAAUGGGGGAAGGAGUACAUGCCUUAUACAUGAAGAUUCACGAAAGAAAUCUCAACCUUUGAGCCCUUUGAAGAACAUAUGAAGAAACCCUAGCCUCCAAUCUUCAAAAGUUAGUUUGAGAGAGUAUUUGAGGUGUUUUAAUCCUUUAACAAGUAUUAUGGAAGGCUACUAAAGGUUAUAUUAUGUGAGGACAUAAGGAUUUAGGAGUAGGAAAUAUCCAAACUAAACUUGGCUUAAAAUUUAAAAUAAGUCACGUCCAGGGGUAUGACCCCCCUUACCACCCAUAACCUAGGGUACGAGUGGUUCCCCAACUCAUAUACAAACCUUGCCAUGAACUUUACCUACUGGUUUCUAUAUGACUCCACCUUCCUAAAUUAUACCUAAGGGUACGAGUGACACCCCCAAUCAUAUCCACGAGUCGUACCUAGGGCAAACUCUACAAGACCAAGACAAUCGCGCACCAUACAACUUGCCCUACACUACUCGUAUGCUCCUAUAUGACUCAUACCCUAGUGAGUCAUAUCUUGGGCAUUAGCCAAGCCAACCAUGCUGCCUGGGGUAUGAUUGAACCAUUAAGAUACUCCAAAAGUCAUAUUCAAGGGUACCAUUGGUACCCUUGAGUCAUACCAAGUCAAAAGGUCCAAAACUUGAGAAAUUUUACAAGGGUCCCAAUCUUAGGGUGUUGCAGUCUCCCCCACUAGGAUCAUUCAUCCUCAAAUGACCUGUAAGGGUAAUAACAAGCACAUAUAACACAUUAAAACACAUCAAACUUUCCUCUAACCAAAAUAGAGGACAAAAACAAAAAUCAAGAUGAGAAGAUCAUCACAUAUUCCAAGCAUGAUUUACACCCCAACACUUUUAUGCCGACCUCUAACUAAGUUAGAAAACAAAAAUGCAAGAGGAACUAUCCCUCACCUUUAACCAAGUUAGGAAACAAAGAUGUGUUGAAGAGCACGCACCUUACGCACGAAUUUUUGGAAUAAAUAACCAACGUGGAUCUUUGAAUUCCAUAUCAUUCUUUGCUCCCGAAUGACUUUCUAGAACCUUUAGUUCCACCAUAGAACAUUUACCGAAGCCAUAUUUUUCACUCACAACUGAAAAACUUACCAAUCCAAUAUCCUCAUCAGCGCCCCCUUAAGGAAUAAGGAAUCUGAGAUACCAAUGCCACACAACAGGAACAAACCAACCAAGGACCAUCAACACUUUACCCCAAUACAUAGAAUACCAGAUGAAUAGAACUUAUGCUAAAGAGAAAAUCCAUUUCAACUUAGAGUUUACCAAGGCACAUCACUAUAGGAGCUUGAGUCUAACUAUACACCACCACUUCUAUGUUCAAGCCUAGCCCAAACUCAAAAGGAGUUAACUUAGGCCACUGGGUUCUACUUCUUACCUCUAUCCUGGAACAUCGCUUGACUUUCAUCACCAUUAUAACAUGGGAACCAUGAGUAAAAGACACGGAUAAACCAUAUCCAACCACUAUAACUGAAACCCCCAACUAUAUCUCAAGUACCCAACACAACUAUUGGUCUAUCUACUAAUCACAAUAUUUAAGCCUAUGACUUGUAUACCCGCGGUAUGAUCUAUCCAUCAAAAGAUCUAACACCCUUUAUAACCUUCACAAGGUUUUCACCACCCAUUCCUUUCCUAACUAUUUCCCAUGACAACAACCUUAUGUUACCUUCUAAAACCUUAACUUUUAGUAGUCACCUUAGACUCUCCCCCACUUUGGGACUUCUAUAUUCCCUGUUUCAAUAUAUCGCCAUACUUCCCAAACCAUUACCAUCCUAGAAUAAGAAGAAUCAUUAAGGAUUCAAAGUGCAAGAAUUAUCCAUACCACCCAAGGCAAGACAAAGACCCCCGAAACAAGACAUGACACUAUAGGCAUGAAGUACUUUAUAAAAAUCACCUAAACCAUAAUGAGGAACCAUCCUAACAUAACCAUACUGUGAAAGGAGUCCUUAAGAAUGGACACUGAAAGAAACACAAAUACAUAUACCAUGAGUAACUUAACACAAAGUCAAGGCUCCAAGGAACAAGGCAAAUACAAAAUGUGAACCUUAGUCCUAAGCGCUAUAACAAUGCAUGCAACACUACUAGAGUAGCCUUUUUACCGAAAGAGAAGAGUAUCACCAGAAUAUGCAGAUCGACCUUUCCUUAAAGUCCAUCGCUAAAGGAGAAUUUUAGAUAAUCAUCAAUAUUCACCCCUUUACUCCUACAAGCAUAAUACUUUGCUCUAAUAGGUAUCACAGAAGACAUACACCAAGGAUGUUUGGUUCUCCCAUACCUAAAAUCUCAGUCAUCUCAAUGCUACCUAGAGCCUAAUACAGAUAUGCAAAAACCAUGAGACCCAAUCAAUUCCAAGGUUUCUAAUUAGACCAAAACUAUUUUAAACUAAACUAAGGCUACCAAGGCCUUUCAAAAACCAUUUGAAUCUAACCAAAGCCUAUCUAUGUUUCCUUAACUAUCUAUACAAUGCAAAGAUGCAAGAAUAGUCUAACAAUAUGACGAAAUUAUAUUCAAUGGCAAUUUCAUAAUUAUUUUAAGGGUAUAAAAUUUUAAAAACAAAAAUUAAGUAGUUGGGUAAUCUAUAGUACCCUGAAAUCCAUUUAAAAUUCCCAUACAUCCUACAAUGUUCAUUCAUAAAUAUUUGUAAAGCAUGAAUAAUACAUCAUAAUCCAUGGAAAAUAAAUUAAAUGAGUAAUCAUGUUAAAGACCUCAAUUGUGCCAAAACCCAAUUUCAAAACCAUGAAUUUAAUAAUCAAUUUCAUGCCAAUAAUAAAGUACAAGUAUAGGGACAAGGAUACAUGCAAGCUCCAUGAUCUAACUUGUCAAAUGACUAGAUCUCCAGUUCUUCCAUUCAACCUGAACUCCCAGCCAAUGUGGUACAACUCUCCCACUAUUGUAUUUCCUAAAUCAUCAACCUCAUCCAACCUACCAGUUUACCUCUACAACUCCCACAUUGCUAUUUUUGAUCAUACUCCCUUUUAUCAAAAUCAAGCAUCUUGAUUCAAGCCAAGUAUCUACCAACCACUAUGUGCCACUAGCAAAGUACCCUUAUAGAAUAUACAUAAGAAUGGUCUACCCCACAGGGAGGACACUUUAAAUUCCUUAGUCACCUACCGACAACCUAUCCAUUUCAAGGGAAAACCAUUCCCUUUAUGCAUGAAAGAACAAAACACUCCAUAGGGGAACAUUAAGACCUAUGAGACCUUUAUCUAAGAGAUCCCUUAAUUUCUCCUUGAGAUCUUUUAACUUCAUUAAAAUGAUUCUAUAAAGAAGGAAUAGAAAUUAGGAAAAAUGUAUGAAACAAGACCAACCCCAAACCAACCUCCCCAUUAUAAAGACACUAUAAGGGUUAUCAGAAAGGACCUCAGGAAAUUCAUCCACUAUCAAAACCAAACCAAAGAAAGACCUUUUGGGUUAGAAUAUUUAACUCGGAUCAAAUAAAAAAGAAACUCAUUGGAGAUCAGCCUCUAAGUUCUAAGAUAUAAUAUAACCUUUCCCUUAUUAACUAGGGAAUGAAACCAUCAUCCCAUUCUAAAACUGACUUACUAGAAAGCCUAAUAAGUCUGAUAAUCUAAUUAAUGAAAACACAAGUACAACCAAUCCAUCCCCUGAAUAACAUCAAAAUCCACCACAUAUAAGUAAAAAAAAUCCACCAUGAAUCCUUUAUUACCAACAAAUACCACACACUGAUGUUGGGUGUAUUUAUGCACUUUAAUAUUGCUAUUCUAGCCUAUUUACCCUUGUUUUGAGGAUAAUUCAUGUGCUUUAUGUGUGAUGAUGAUAUAAAUAAGCAUAUAACUGUUCAAGGACGUGUUUACAAUGGUUAAAAGUUCUUUGAAAAGUGUCAGCUUAAAUCAUUCAAUUAGAGUUUAGAUGAGAAAAUUGGUUAUCCUAGCUUGAGCUAGGUGAUUGUUCUAGGUAGUCUCGGUGGAUUCUAAUGUGUUAAAUAAGUUCCUAGUGGUUUUAUUGUGUAAUUAUUUGUGAAAUAACUUGUUUAUGAUGUGAAAAGUGUAAUCAAAUCAAGUCAAGAGCAAAAAUAAAAUGUUAAAGAUUAAGCGAGCAAGCCUAGUCUUAGCUCGUGUUUCUUGCUCAUCAUUGUGAAUGUUUUGUUGUAUUGAGAUCUAAUCCAUGGUGUUUGAUGAUGUAGGAUGAUCUUGGAGUUGAUUAUGGUGAUAUAUGGAUGUCAACAUGCUUGAAAUUAAAGGUAAAACAAUACCAAAAGCUUGGAAUAGAAGACAAAGUAAUGUCACAAAGAAUGGGACAAAAGGUUGGACGUUGAACGCUUAGAAAAUAUUUUGAGGGAAACUUCCAGUAGCUGCAGGAGAUUAGCAUGAAAAUAAGUCUCUAUAUCAGGCUUAUUUGCCUUAGAAAAAUUGGUGAAGUAAAAUUCCAGUAGCACCGUGAAAAUAGCCCACGACGCAUGGUCCAUCCUGGUAGAGAAUAACACAUGUCACAUGCUCUAAUUCACUGCAGCCAAGCCAACAUCGCAUGCUUCAUUUCAAUGCUCUAUUUUUGUGCUUGGAAGUAUGUGACAUCUUUGAAUCCUAUAAGGUUUAGGAUAAGCUUAUUAUAUACACACACACAUUACACACUUUAUGGGUAACAUGUAUUCAAUUAUUUAGCUUUUAAUUAUAUCAUAACAUGUAUUCAAUUAUUUAGCUUUUAAUUAUAUCAUAACAUGUAUUCAAUUAUUUGUAUCAUGAUUAUGAGUAUUAGUGGCUAAAAACUCCAUUUCUGGGGUUAAAGCCAAGAACAUGACUACAAUCGUUUUGGAUUUAUUUUGUUGGAUUUGAUUAUCAUAUUUGGUUGCUUGUUUAUUCUUAUUUUUAUUAUUUUGAGGAUUGAUCACCCUUAGAAUAUAUAUAUUGUUGACCUUUUUAACUCGGGAGAGGGAAUAGGGACAUAGAAUAUGGGGAUAAAUAAAGUAGGGUUUGUAUUCUUUUAUAAAAUGAGGAAUUCAAAUUAGCGUCUAGGACAGGGAUAUACCUAGAAGCCAUACUUGAUUCAUACAUAGGAUGAUAGCUUUAGUAACUUAAUUGGAUUAUUACAUCCCUUUUCAACGAUAUAGUUGUAAUAUCCAAGUUAGGUAAAUGAUUAGAGGUUGAGAGACCAUAAUCAUGAAAUUAACCCUACGAAUCAACAACCAAGAUAAAUAGUUAAUGAAUGAAGUUCAAUAACAUAGUAUGAUUGUUUGAAGUGCUUUAACAUUGGGCUUUACUCUAUUAAUUGUCUCAAGUUCUUUAUUUUACGCAUUGUUUACUUUACUUGCAAUUUACAAUAUUCAAAUCUCUAUUUUGGUUACACUUUCAUCAAUUAAUAUAAAUUGUGAACUAGAAUUGAAUAGUCAUUAAAAAAGUCCUUGUGGGAUCGAUAUUCGACUUUCUUAAAGGCUAUUGUAGUACUUGGUAGACUACGUACACUUGUGUGUGCGCUUGGGUGCUGUUAUAUUUUUGGCGCUGUUGUUGGGGACUUGUAAUUUGGAAACUAUUUUAUUUUAGCUUUUCUUUUUAGUUUUCUUUGGUAUUUUUUGUUUGGUCCUGUUUUGUAUUUGCCUGAAUAGGUUUUCAAAGAAGUAAGCUGACAAGGGAUCAAGAAUUGGUUGAAACAAGCCCCAAACUCGAGUAACUCUUCCAUCAACGGAGGAAAGGAGUAAUCCUUCUCCCCCAAAUUCCAAAAAUCCAAGAAGAUCAAGAUAAUCUUGCUUUCAUGGCUGAGGAACAAGCAGUCCGAAAGACAGUUAUAGAAGUAGCAAUCCCACUUAUAAUAAAUUUGACCUCACCUUCUCAGAAACCAGCUGCUGGAGGGAGGUUCGAGCUAAAGAACAAUGUAGUGCAGCUGUAGAUUAGCAGUGGAAAGUUACAGGGCUUACACAUGAAGAUCCAUAGGUCCACUUGUAGAACUUCAUUGAGCUCACUGACACAUUCAUUUUGAUAGAUGUGAAUUCAAUCACAUCACAGGAUGGCUUAGCCCGAAAGUUUUUCAUCAAAUUUUUUUCGUAUGGGAAGACUGCAAAACUUCAUAGUGAGAUAGUUAGCUUCAAACAAAGAGAAGAUGAGAACCUCUAUCAUGCUUAGAAGCAAUUCAAGGCGCUUCUUUGGGAAUGUCCAUAUCAUUAAUAGUCUAAUAAGGUACUUUAUCAUACUUUUAUAGAAGCAUUUGACCACAACACAAAAAUUUUGCUAGAUUCAACUGUAGGUGAUCAAGCGCUAGAGUUGACUUAUGAUGAGCUGUACACCUUAUUGAACCACACCGAACAAUGAAAUACAGAGUGUCAUAUUAAUUGUAGGAGUGCCAGGAAGAAAGUUACAGGUGUGUUAGAGGUGGACCAAUACAUUACUUUAUCAGCUCAGCUUUAUGUAUUACAAAAUUUGAUAAACACUCUGUUCAGCAGCUUAAAAGUGGGAGCUACACAAUCCACAAUAGCAAUUAAUGUAGUUUAGUAGAUCAGUGGUUAGUGUGAGGUUUGUGGCAACGAUGGUCAUUCAAUGGCUAUGUGUGCUGCCAAUCCUAAGUCUGUGAUGUAUGUCAAAAAUGCUCAAAGUUAGAAUUAUGGGAACACCUACAACAUGAAGUGGCAGACUCAGCCACUCAAUCAUCCCUGGAAUGCCUAACAACAACAAAUUCAGCAACCAUAGGCACAAGAAAAUUAGUCAACUCGUAACUUGAAAGAGACGAUGAAACUGAUUCUAACUAAUCAAACACAGUUGGCUGCAGAUGUAAAAAAUCAGCAAGUGGCCACAAGAAGCUUAGAGUUGCAGUUGGGGAAAUUAUCACUGACACUAAAUUCCAGGCUGCAAGAUGGUUUUCCAGGAGAUACUUACAAUCCAAAAUAAGUUAUGACAAUUAUGUUGAGGAGUGGUAAAGAGAUUAACGAAGAGAAUCCUAAGAAAAUUAAGGAGGUAGAUGCAAAUUUGACUCCCCAAUAUGUUACUGAAAAAGUUGUUGAAAAGUCAUGAAAGUCUAAGUACUUGAAAGAAAAAGUUUCUAAAAAAGUACAGAUCCCACCACUGCCUUUCCCACAGUAGUGUAUUCAGGCAAAAGAGGAUGCGUGUUUUAAGAAGUUCUUUGACAUGUUCAGAGAUCUUCACAAUAAUUUUCCUCUUUUAGAUAUUUUGUAGAGAAUUCCCAAGUAUGCUAAGUACUUGAGAGAUGUGGUUGCUAAUAAAGUUAAGUUGGAGGAUGUGGAGGUGGUAGCACUCACCGAGGAGUGUAGUUUUGUGGUUAUGCAAAAGAUGCCUAAAAAGCUUUAGAAACCCUAGAAGUUCACUUUCCUCAUUCAGAUUGGCAAUAACGAGGUAGUUCAGGAACUUAGUGGUUUAGGGGAAAGUAUCAACUUGCUGCCCCUAUCCUUUUUCAACAUAUUGGGCUUAGGCAAUCCUAGACCAAGCUCAGUACUACUACAGCUUGCAUACGAGACCAUAUCCCAUCCCGAAGGAGUUAUAGAGGAUGUUCUUAUAAAGGUUGGUAAAUUUAUUAUUCCUGCUGACUUUAUUGUUCUAGAUUUUUAGGCAGAUGAAUAGGUACCAAUCAUCUUGGGAUAUCUAUUUUUAGAAAUGGGAGGAGAUUUGAUUAAUGUGAGAGAGGGCACACUCACAAUGUGGUUGGAUGAUGAAGAGGUGGUAUUUAAAGUGUACAAACCUCUUAACAAACUAUCCCACUAUAAAGACUUGUGUAUGAUUACUGUGAUUGAAGGGGAUAAGUGUGGGGUUGUGGAGUCUACUCCAUAAAAGACCUUAUUGAAGUGUGUGCUGGUGAUGUUGGGUGUAUUUAUGUACUCUAAUGUUGCUAUUCUAGCCUAUUUAUCCUUAUUUUUAGGAUAUUCAUGUGUUUUAUGUGUGAUGGUGAUAUAAAAAAGCAUAGAACUAUUCAUGGAUGUGUUUACAAUGGUUAAAAGUGUUUUCAAACAAUUGUGGGCUUAAAUCGUUCAAUUAGAGUUUAGAUGAGAAAACUAGUUAUACUAGCUUGAUCUAGGUGAUUGUUCUAGGUAAUAUCGGUGGAUUCUAAUGUGUCAAAUGAGUUCCUAAUGGUUUUAUUGUUUAAUUAUGUGUGGAAAAACUUUUUUUUUAAUGUGAAAAGUGUAAUCUAACCAAGUAAAGAGCAAAAAUAAAAUGUUAAAGAUUAAGCGAACAAGCCUAGUCUUAGCUCGUGUUUCUUGCUUAUCGUUGUGAAUGUUUUGUUGUAUUGAGCUAUAAUACAUGGUGUUUGAAGAUGUAUUCUUUUGGAGUUGAUUAUGGUGAUAUAUGGAUGUCUAACAUUCUGGAAGUUAAAGGGAAAACAAAACCAAAAGCUUGAAGGGGAAGGCAAAGUAACGUCACAAGGCAUGGGACAAAAAGUUGGACGUUGAAAACUUAGAAAAUAUUUUGAUGGCAACUUCCAGGGACAAAAAGAAACCCUUACUUUUGCUGCCCAAGGUAAGUGAAAAAACUUAUGGUUUAGCUUAAUUAUCUCAUUGAAGAUUAGAAAAAUAUGCUAUAGGUGCCUGAUUAUAAAUAUAUGGCAGAAUAUAGAACAAGCUACUUACUCACUUUUUCUUUGUUAUUAAGAGAUCUCUUUUCUUCUUUGGUUUAAAGUGUGAAGGAAAGUGAAAGUUGAAGUUUUGAGGAGUUCAAAUUAAGAGAAUAAGUUGUAGAACUGAGGUAAGGUGACUGCUCCAUUUUGUUCUCCUUGUAUGUGAAUUCGAAAGAGAAUUAUGGAUAUGUUGUUAUUGAGAACUCAAGAGAUGAUGAGUUCAAUAAUUGAUUGCUACAAUAAAAAAGAUUUGAGGCUGUUUUGUGGACUAUUUUGUAUGUAUAUUUUAUGGGCUAAUAGGUUGAUGUUGGAGAAAGGUAUGAUUAGUUUGUAGUGAAAUAUAGAGAAAAGGUGUGAUGGUACACCACCAAACCAAUUAUUGCAUUUGUUUACUGCCCAAUCUGUUUUGAGUAUUGUUUGGAAUGUGUAAUGAAGCCGAGGUGGUUUUGGUGAAUCUUACAAGAACCUUUAUGGUAUGUGCGUGUAAUUGGAGGAGAAAAGGGUUAAAAUAAUACCCUUGAUUGAUAGAUUAAUGGCUUAAUGCCCGGUUACUAUUUUGGGUAAAGUUAAGUAGCAUAAAUGUUUUAGUUGGUUGGUAAUUCUAAUUUACCAUAUAUUCUAUUGUAGAUUAGUAAUCUAAAAGGUGGGAAGUCAAGUCGGGUUAGUUUCGGAGCUAUAUAACCAGGUAUGUAACACAUACUCGAUUUUACGCUCUUUGGCAUGAAAUUAGAUGUUUGUUCUAUGAAGUAAGCUUCCAAGGUUAUCCUAUAACAAGUGAUACAUAAUAGCAGCACAUUACAUUCCAUGUAGACAAUGACCUUGUUCCCACUCUCUAACAUGUUAAAACACCUCAAUACAUGCUUAUUAUUAAACCUGCACGUCUAUUUUCACUAGAGAAUUUCAGGAGUUUUUCGUUUACUCAAAUAAUACCCAUGUCUUAUUUUCAGCUCCUAAACACUUUAUUUGUGUGCCAACAUCUCCCUACCUCAUUGUUUUUUGAUUAAGUGCCCAUUUACAUGUCUCUUAUUGGUAGAUCACUAUUUCAAGAUACCGUAAUGUUAUGACCACCAAAGUAACAAUCUCAAAGGCUAAAUAAACUAAGUAACAUAAAUCUGUAAAAUGAGUGGCAGCUCAGGGGAAUAAGCCUAGCAUGAGCCGAUCUCAAUACCUUUAUAUGGGUGGCGGCUAAGGGGCGUAAGCCUAGCAUGGGCCAAUCCCAAUCCUUAUAUAUGGGUGGUAGCUCAGGGGUAAAGCCUAGCAUGGACCGAUCCCUACAUAGAUUUAUGGGUGGUAGCCCAGGGGUGGAAGGAACACCUAGUAUGGGUCGAUCCCAUUAUCGGGUGGUAUUCCAGGGGUGAAAGAAAAGCUUAGAAUUGGUCAAUCCCGAUUUGUAAAUUAUUGAGGAACGUAUCCCAGGGGUAUAACUCAUAGCAUGGGUCAUUCUCUUUUACCACUGAUCAGCUGGUUAUAUGUAUCAUAUGGCUUAUAAAGAUUAUAAGGCAAACAAGAGUAGUAAAGAAAAUCAUGUAAUGUACAGUAUUCCACAAGUGUAAGUAAAGGGGGUCAUUCAUCCUUAUCUAUAUAUUUAUAUAUUGAUCCAUGAUUUUAUUAAUUCCUUAUUUCACGUAUGGUUAUCUUAUGCCUUACAUAUUUAGUACAUUAGUUUGUACUGACGUCCCUCAUGGGGGACCAGUGUUCCAUAUUGCAGGCACAAGUUCUUAGCUGGUAGAUCUCCCUAAUAGAAGAACAGGAUACUCAGCGGCUGUUGGUGAGGUCCAGGUUGAUUCGGGGCCUUGCUGAGUUUUUACCAUAUAUAUUUUGAUGGUUUUACAGUCAUGGAUUCCAUUAGAGUCUUUGUAGACAUUGUAAAGUAGUCAUAUGUAUUCAUAGAUUCACAUGUCAUCUAUAUCGGUUUGGCUAAUUGGUUGGUUUGUAUAUACAACUUUUUUAUCAGCGAUUCAUUAGUAUAGUGAUUCUUUUUCUCAUCUAGUUUAUUUUUAUAGUAUGUGUUCCUUUAGUUAUUGUCCGCCUCAUCCAGUAUUAGGGUGUGAUAGUAAAGUUAUGGUAGUGUAUUUCCUUUAGACGUGGUGGCCCCAACGGCCAAGUGUUGUAUAUAUAAGUUUGUGCUUGCCUAUGUAAUUAUUCUCAUCGAUACAUAAUAUCAUAUUUGUCAGAACCUUUGGUUGUCAUAGUUAUAUGCAUGAGAAGUACAAGGUUAUGAAUUGGUUAUCUCAAGCCUUUACGGCUACGGGUGACUGUCCGCCCCAAUAGGAUUUGAGGUGUGACAGCAUGAUCCAUCCCAGUGGAGAAUAGCAUGCAACACAUGCUCUAUACCCAUGCUCCCAUGCAUGCGCAACAUGCUCUAAUUCACUGCGAUCAAGCCAGUGUCACAUGCUUCAUUUCAAUGCUAUAGUUUGGUGCUUAAAAGAAUAUGACAUCUUUUAUUUCUAUAUGGUUUAGGAUUAGCUUAUUAUAUAUACACACACGUUACACACUUAGAGGGGAAUCUUGUAAUCUUGGACGGCUUGGACAAAAUUAGAGGCUGCUGCACAUUAUUUUAGGAUUUAAUCUUCUAUUUAUUUAGCUUUUAAUUAUAGUAUAACAUGUAUUCAAUUAUUUUGAUCCGGAUUAUGAAUAUUAGUUGCUAAAAACUUCCUUUCCGGGGUUAAAUCCAAGAACAUGAAUACUAUCGUUUUGGAUUAAUUUCGUUGUAUUUACUUAUCAUAUUUGGUUGCUUAUUUAUUCUUGUUUUAAUUAUUUUGAGGAUUGAUCACCUCAUAAUACAUAUAUUGUCAACCUUUUGAUCUCGGGAGAGGGAUUAGGGAGAGAGAACAUGGGGAUAAACAAAGUAAGGUUUGUAUUCUUUUAUAAAAUAAGGUAUUCAAAUUAGUGUCUAGGAUAGGGAUGUACCUAAAAGCCUUACUUGAUUCACACAUAGGAAGAUAGCUUUAAGCAUUUAAUUGGAUUAUUACAUCACAACUCAACGAUGUAGUUGUAAUGUCCAAGUUAGGUAAAAGAUUAGAGGUCGGGAGACCAUGAUCAUGCGAUUAAACCUACGAAUCAACAUUCAAGAUAAGCGAAUUUACGAAUGAAGUUCAAUAACAUAGUAUGAUUGUUCUAAGUGCUUUAACCCUGGGCUUUACUGUAUUGAUUGUCUUAAGUCCUUUAUCUUAUGCAUUGUUUACUUUACUUGCUAUUUAAAAUAUUCAAAACUCUAUUUUGGUUACUCUUGCAUCAAUUAAUCUAAAUUGUGAAAUAGAAUUGAAUAGUCGUUAAAAUAAGUCCCUAUGAGAUCGGUAUACAGUUUUCUUGAAGGCCACUAAUUACUUGGUAGACCACGAACACUUGUGUGUGUGCUUGAGUGCUAUCACACACCCCUAUAAACUCUUUUGUCAAUCGAAGAGUCACCUACCGGGGUAGAAACAGAAGAAGAAAAGAGUCCAAAAUAACCUUGGGAGCACAUCCAGAAUACACAACCAUAAAUAGUUCCAAAAAGGAUAGAGGACCCAAACCAAGUAAACCAUACACACCAUGAAGAAAAGGAUUUUUCAAUGUACCAGCAUCGACAUUAAAAGAUGCCUUGGAUUCCUUAGGAAUAGUAAGAACAUUGAGACAAUCUCGACCACUACCGGAGCCAGAGGUAGUAGACAAUACUCUAUUUGCCCAAGUGGCAACCCUUAUAGGACAUCCCCAUCACACGAUACCCAACUGACCACAACUAAAAUAUUAAUUCCUUCCUCCCUCACAACAGCCACGGUACGACCAACCACUUAAUCUAUAAACAAAUUAGGAUGAUGAGGAUUGGGUUCCACUGGGUAAACCAGAAGUUGCGACCCUUGACCGGGUCUGUGCUCCAUGAGUUAGGAUAGAUCUAUCCAUAUUGUUUUUGAGUAGAACAGGUAGGUUUCCACUACUUUAUAUUAUUAAGAAGACAUGAUCCAAAGAGUGAAUCAAGGAAGAUUUAGAGAAGUGUUCAAGACCUUAGAUUUCAUAUCCUGAAAGUAGAAUAACCAAGAAAGUGUAACAUUCGAAAUGCCUCGUAGCCUCCUGAUUAUAAGUGUGGUGCACAACACACCCAUAAGAAAAACUCUACUCAACACGGCUUUGUGGACACCCCAUGACACCGAAACCUAAAGCUCUGAUACCAACUUAACACGACCAAAACUAGGGCCUUGUCAUAGUGGGCAAUCCCAAGCCCAACUAGGACUGGGGAACCGCCCCCGUUACCCAACCCGACAACCAAACGCAUACCUCAAGUCAGCUGAAGUUCAAACAUAUAACAGGAUAGCGUAUUCACCCAUGUGGUGACUCCGGGAUAAGUCUAUAUUCGAGACCAACCCAAGAAAGCACAACCACUAAUUAACCAACCCAAACCAAUGCAAAAACCAUAAGCUAAUAUAAUGAUAUUAAGUUAAUGUAUGUAUGUUUAUGAAACGUAACCAAUCCAUACCAUACCCAAGUCUACAAUUGUCCAUACAAAGCCUCUAGACCAACUAAAGAGUACCUAGUUGGGACAUUCCCUCGGCCAUAGCCAAAAACCAAAGUAUAUGAAAGACAAAAGAUAUGUAAGGUAAUCCAUGACAUGAAAUAGAUGCCUUCCGAACUAUGGAAGAUCACCAUUUAAAUCUAACAUCUACUGUCCCCGAAUUCAAUCUCUAAGUACAAGAAGUAAAAUAGUCCGUCCUCCUAGCGUGGGUACACAGCCGCCCGAAGAUAGGCUAGUGGAUGAACACUAGCAUGCACUUAGGAUAAGGGUAAAAUAAUUUCAUUUAUAAAACCAAGUAAAAUCAUCCAUAAUGCAUAAAACCAUACAUAUAUACAUAACCAUGCCAGGAAAGGGAAUCGGGUUUAGCUUGCCUUUAAAACCUUUACCAGGGUUGUGUAACUUUGCCUUCCUAAGCUACCCACGAGUUAUAUGGGUUCAUCUCCCCUUGCUGAAAGGGACCCAGUGCAUAUAGCCGCAUGACCAGGGAAGAACCCUUAGGAUGACUAGUACAUCCCCCAAACAUAGUGUGACAUCAUGCACACAGUCAUCAAGAUCAACCUCAUAUCAGAAAAUAUAAGUUUCCAAUUUUUGUCCCCUCGAACCUCCACCUUCCAUGUCUUUGCUACAUAUCCUGCCAUUAUUGCCUAAUUAAAACCAAUUUCCAAAUAACCAAACUAUUUUUCAUUUAUUAACCAAGGCCAUUGAUAUUGGUAUCAUUAUACCAACCCAUAUCUUUAUAAGCAUUUUGUCAAACACAUUGCGGGCAUGAUAUGAACAAAACCAAUUCCAUUAAUGCAUUCACUUGAGGAAUCACUGUGUAUCCUACAAGGUAUUUAGAAUAGACCAACCAUGACCACCAAAACUUUUACCCGUUACACUAUUUCAAACCAUUUUAUACCAUGCCAAACAUUUAAAACAUUUAUAUCAUUUAGACAACUUAAGCCAUACAAAACCAUCCAAAUCCAUUUAAGGUUCCAUUACCAAACCAAACCAUGCAAGAAUUCCAAUAAAAGUUCAACAAUAGAGUCAAAAUAUUCUUUGAGGCAUUUUAUCAAACAUGUUGAGGAAAUACCUUUACCAAGACUUAAAUCAUUGUAUAAACCGCCAUAAUUAGGGUUACUCAAGACCGAUUUGUAAAUAAUAACCAACCAAUAAUCAUAUAUAAAAUCCAUUACCAAAAACAUGCAAGAACAUAGUUUAAACCAAUACCAAACCAUAUGCAUCAAGAUCCUCAACAUAUAUUUCAAAACCCCUCAUUCAUGAUUCAUAUAUUCAAUGUUUAAAACACAAUACACACACCUUUAGUUGGGAAUAACAAUGAGGAAAGGAGUACAUGCCUUAUAUAUGAAGAUUCAUGAAAGAAAUCUCAACCAUUGAACCCUUUGAAGAACACAUGAAAAAACCUUAGCCUCCAAUCUUUAAGAGUAAGUUUGAGAGAGUAUUUGAGGUGUUUUAAAUCUUUAACGAGUGUUAUGGAAGGUUACCAAAGGUUGUAUUACAUGAGGACAUAAGGGUUAGGAGUAGGAAUUGUCCAAACUAACCUUGGCUUAAAAUUUAAAACAAGUCACGUCCAGGGGUAUGACUCUCCCUUACCACUCAUACCCAAGGGUACGAGUAGUACCCCAAUUCUUACCCAAACCUUGCCAUGACCUUACCUACUGGAUUCUAUAUGGAUCCACCUUCUUAACUCAUACCUAAGGGUACGAUUGAUACUCCCAAUCAUAUCUACCAGUUAUACGUAGGGCAGACUCCAUAAGACCAAGAUAAUUAUGCACCAUAUGACUUACCCCAUACUACUCGUAUGCUCCUAUAGGACUCGUACCCUAGUGAGUCAUAUCUUAGGAAUUAGCCAUGCCAACAUUGCUACCUAGGGUAUGACUGAACCAUUAAGAUACCCCACAAGUCAUAUUCAAGGGUACGAUUGGUACCCUUGAGUUGUACCAAGUCAAAAGGUCCAAAACUUAAGAAAUUUUACAAGGGUCCAAAUCCUAGGGUGUUACAUGCUUGCCUUAGACUUUUUUAUGGGUGUCUCCUUGAGGAGAGGUUUAAUUGAAUAAUUGAAUCUCAAUCCAGUCAAUAUGGAAAACUCGUUCAUGCAAAAACUAACUGGCGUGCCACAGUAGUUAAUCUAGAUUUCGUCCAUCUUUUUGCCCCUCUUCUUCAAAUCUUUAUCAUCACCCAUAUACUUGAUCCUGCACUUGAGAAGACCAUAUACUAUGAUUAUUUGGAAGCAUGUACUGCUGUCCUCAGGUAGGUCAAGAAAGUAUCCAUAGCAGCUGGACCUAAAAAAUCCUCCAGUUUUUCCUUUUCCAUAAUAUUCCUAAAAUCAUCAAAAAAAUUCCCAUAGGACAUUUAACUACAAAAUCACCAGUUAAAUCUGCAGAGUUAUCUAUCAGCAUCUCAACUUGCAAUCAGUUAAUACUAAUAGUUUUGACAGGAUCAUGUUGGGAUUUCAAUCUUAAUUCAUGUCCCAUUGAUGAUACAUUAUCAUCAUCUUGAUCAUCCUCACUAUCUACUUCCUCCUCUUCUUCUUUAUCCUCAUCUUCUUCCUCGUCACAUUUAUUUUUCUCACCACCCACUAUAGACCCUUCUUCACCUUUCUCAACAUCAUUUUCCUUAAUUUUGUUUUUAUAUCUUUCCUUAGCUUUAUUUUUUCCUAAAAGAGAUUGUUCAGGAAGCUCCUCCGAAUCAAUCUAUACUCUAGCUUUUUUGUUAGUUGGUCAAAAGUUGAUCCACUUUCACUUUCUUUUCUUUUAGGAGAUAUCUUUUACCUACAGAUAAAAGAAAUUCAAAAAAUAUUACAAUUGAUGUCUGCAUAAUUUAAAAAAAAAGAUAACAAAAAAUUAAAUAAAUACAACACAUUGCAAAAAAUAUUACAACAAAUGACUCAUCUGUUGGAAUAAAUUCCCCAUCUGUUGCAACAAAUGUAUCAUCUAUUGGAAGAUAUCAAAAUAGUCUUGCUGCUAGUUUAAUUUCUUCCAACAGGUGAUCCAUCUAUUGCAAUACAUGGAGAAUGUAUUGGAAGAGCUAUUUUGUUUUAUUCCAACAACUGACCCAUCUGUUGUAACAAAUGGAGAAUCUAUUGGAAAACGUAUUCUAAAAUCUCCCAACAGAUGUUCAACAUGUUACAAUAAGUGGGUCAUCUGUUGGAAGUUAUCAAACAAGUUGCAGUUCUAUUUUGAUAACUUCGAAUAGAUGACCCAUGUUUAGCAAUAGAGGGGUCAUCUGUUGGAUGAAAUUGAAUCAGGUCUUCAACUUUUACAUCAGAUAUAUAAUCUGUUGGGCAAUACAAUACCUCACCACCACUACCACCAUCAACACCACCACCAACAUUACCACCACUAACACCACCAAUACCAACACUAAUAUUAAUACCAACACCAACACUAACACCACCAAUACCAACACCACUAACACCAAUACAACCACCACCAAUAAUAAUACCACUACCACCACCACUGCCAACACCACCAGCAAUACCACCAAUGCCAACAUCAUCACUACUACCAAUACCAACACCACCAAUACCAACACCACUAAGACCCAUACCAUCACCAAUACCAAUACCACGACAUUACCACGAUUACCAACAAACCAAUACCACUAAUACCAACACCAAAAAUACUAUCAUCAUACCACCACCACCACCACCAUGUAAGGUCCUAAAAAGUUCCCUCAUAGUUUGAUCCUUAGGGCAUGUCAAUUGAGUCGUAAUUUCAGCCCUAAAAGAUUGAGAAGUGGCUUCCUAAGUGAGUAUCAUAUUAACCAUAUAGAAUUUCCCUAAUUUUAACUUUUUAUCAUAUGAGAAAUUUGAUAAGAUUUCUGUCAAUAUAAGAUUCAUCCAAAUUCAAUACCCGGGUAAGAAGUUAUGGCUAAUUUAAGACCUAGUCGUAAAACUGUGUCAUUUUAGUACUUGACGAGUCGCGGAGAGGGUCGAUUUGAAAAUUUUAAAAUUCUAGUGGAACUCUGCAUUAUUGGCACAUCGCACUGAGGUUUCAGGUCCCAACUAGUGGGAAAAUGCAAUGGCUCCGCAUCGUGGAGACUCCCAUAUUGCCAAUUGUCAAUUUCAAGUGAGCCACCGCGAUAAGUGGUGCAUCGCGAUGACCCCUUAAAUCGGGUUCCCAGUUCAAUUUCUUUAGCUUCGUACAGAUGUUAAAAGGGGCAUUUUGGACUUUUUCCAAGGCUAUAAAACCGUACAAACACCAAAUCAAAGUCAUUUGCAAGCAUCCUAUAAGUUUUUUCUCAAGUUUUCUCUCAUAAAAAACCCUAAGUAUCCAAAACCUCUUCCAAGAAUCUUAAGAAUCCACCAUGGAUUUUCUAAAUUGAGUCAAGAUUCAAGGUUCCUAAGUCAAGGGCUUCAAGAACCCUCAAUCAAGAGUACGAAUAGAGUUCCAAAAGUGAGAGUUCAUCCAAAGCUUCUAAUUCAAGGUAUGUGGGGUUUUGAACAAGGGUAACCCUUAAACCCUUAUGCCCAAAAGCAUAUUUACAUCAUGAUUUUGCUGAAAUCUAUAGGAUUUUUACAUGAAUUUGAAUGGGGAUUUUUCACCCAUUCUUAUGGAAUGCAUUAAUUUGAUAUUUCCCAUAAAUUGAGAGUUAAAUGAAAUGAUUUCUACAUGUUUUCUUGAGUGUUUACAGCUGGGUAUAAACCCCAUGAUUUUACUCCUUCACAAGAUAAUAUUUUCAAUGUUUGAGGCGGUGACGCAUAUGCCUAAAUUAAGAUUUUGAGAUAUAUUCCUGAAAUUCCUAGAUUUCUACAUGAUUUAUGAAUCUAUAUGCUUUAUAUAUUAUGCUUUUGAUAUGCUUUAACUUGAUAUUGAACUAUGGGUUGGUAAGCCCUAUUUGAGAUUUGUGAAAUUAUGAACUCUUGUGCUAUAAGCACCCAUGUUUUGAGUAUUUUGAGAUAAUUGAGAAAUGAAUUGACCUAAUGGUCCAAAAGCUUUGAAAUUUACUUCAUCAUAUGAGAUUAUUGAUUUGAUUAUUGGGUUCAUGGUGAACCAUGAGAUUAUUCUAAAAGUGGAUUUUUAUGAGAUAAGCGCAGAUAAUCUAAAGAGAGUAGUACUUAUCACAGAGUGGGUAAGUCACUACAGUUUCUUACCCCAAAACUAUAUGCUACCAUAGGUUGGGCCUGAGGCCGAGUUUAUAAUGAUUAUGAUUAGGCCUGAGGCCGAGUUUUAUUUAGUGAUCACUAGAAGUAGGUUAUACUCCCUGGCAAGAGUAUGACGCUCCUCCCCAAUAUGGGGUCUUCUCCCUAGGAGGACAAAAUGUUGGACUCCAUAUAGCUCGUAUGAUUUAUGUCAGUUAUGAGAACCUCCCUUGCCCUUUUAAACUUUGAAAUUUGAUACUUAUUUUCCCUUCCUAUGAGUUAUUUUUCUAAAUGGCGGAAUUGCAACAUUGUUCCCUAACUAAAGUGCUUCCUUGAGGUGGGUUAUUUUCCUAAAUGAAAGUAUCUUUCCUUGAUAUAGUACUUUUCAUAAAGCUUUGAGAUAAGUUAUUUUCUAGGGCUAGAAUACUUUUCCAUUUGAGAUAGUAUGAUUUUCCUAAAGCUUGAAAUGAGAUAUUUUCCUAAGGUGAAUGAAAUGCCUUCAAAUAUGUUUCCAAGUCAUAUGAUUUCGAAUUCCAAGUAUAUGAGUUCUAAAUAAUUGUGAAAUGUUGAGCAUUGAAGAGGUUUUACUCUCUAUGAGACAUAUGUAUGAUUUUAAAGUAUUGUUCAAAGUCCCUUAGCCUUUAGGUAUUGAGAAUAAGAGAAGUUUUUUGAUUUUUAAGGAUAAAAAGCGAUGGCUCACGAGAUUUGUGUUGUAUGCCUCAUUCUACAUAAUUUAUGAGCUUUAUGUUUUAUACUCGUUCAAGACAUGUGAGUCGUCUUAUUUUGCAUAAAUGAUUUGAUUAAAGAAGAUCAGUACUAUUUUUAUAUAUAUGCAUUCACCCCUGCAUACUAGUACAUUCCAAAGUACUGAUUCACAUAUAUGUCUAUGUUCUACAUUAUCUUAUAAUGUAGGUUUAGGUGCUCAGUCCCAGCCUCACCCGUGAUUCUUCGAGUACCUUGCCUACGUUUUCUGCAGUGGUGAGUCCUCAUGGUUCGAGGAGAGAUCAUCAUAUAUUUUCUAUAUUUGAGAGACUAUGUUUUAUCUUUAGUUCAUUUUGAGUCAGUUGGGGACCUGUCAUAACGACUCUCUAGUUUGCGAUUCGUAGAGGUUUUGUUAGACUAGUAUCAUACUUGUGAUGUGUUGAGGGUUCAAAAUUAUGGAUUUGUUGAGAUUUCUCUGUAUAAUGGUCAUAUGGACGGAGUAUCUUUUCCAUAUUUCCUUUCAUAUGAUAUGACUAUGCGAGUGUUGAGUCUAUUUUAUCUUGAAUUGUGUGUUAUUGGUAGAAACCAGCUCUAAGGGUUAGAUUGGGGCUACUUGUAGACUUAAGCACCGUGUGACAUCUCGUGUGAUGAUUUUGGGUUGUUACACACUACCACCACCACUAAUCCCAACACAACCAACACCAACACCAACACUAAAACUAAUACCAACACCAACACCAUCACCACUAAUAUCAACACCGCUAGUACUAACACCACUACAAAUAUCAAUACCACCACCACCACUACAACCAAUAUCGACACCACCGACCAACAAUACAAAAACCAUCAACAACAACAUCAACAAAACAAAAAUAAAUAACAAAACCAACAACAAAAAAAUAGAAAAAAAAAAACAAACAACACUAAUAGUGCCAACAAUACCUCUAACAGCCACCGCCAACACCACAAACACCAUCCAAAAACACCAUGACAGUCAACAAAAUAUUGCGACAAAACCUAGGGUUAUCUCAAGUUCUUUCUAUAUGUUUUAACAUCAAUUUGAAUUUGAAUUUUUCAUGAUUUUCCUAAAAUCUAUGAGAUUUUUACAUGAAUUUGAAUUGGAAUUUUUUACCCAUUAUUAUGGAAUGCAUUACUUUGAUAUUUUCCAUAAAUUGAGAGUAAAAUGACAUAAUUUCCAUAUAUUUUCUUGAGUGUUUACAGCUGGGUAUAAAGUCCAUGAUUUUACUCCUUGAUAAGCUAAUAUUUGCAAUGUUUGAGGUGGUGAAGCAUAUGACUAAAUUGAGAUUUUAAGAUAUAUUGCUGAAGUUCCCAUAUAUCUACAUGAUUUAUGAAUCUAUAUGCUUUAUAUAUUAUGCUUUUGAUAAGCUUUAACUUGAGAUUGAACUAUUGGUUAGUAAGCCCUAUUUGAGACUUGUGAAAUUAUAAACUCUUGUGCUAUAAGCACCCAUGUUUUGAGUAUUUUCAGAUGAUUGAGAAAUAAAUUGACCUAAUGGUCUGAAAUCUUUGAAAUCCACUUCAUCAUAUGAGAUUAUCGAUUUGAUUAUUGGAUUCGUGGUGAACCAUGAGAUUAUUAUAAAAGUGAAUUUUUAUGAGAUGAGCACAGAUAAUCUAAAGGGAGUAGUACUUAGCACCAAACAGGUAAGUCACUACGGUUUCUUACCCCAAAACUAUGUGCCACCAUAGGUUGGGCCUGAGGCUGAGUUUAUGAUGAUUAUGAUUAGGCCUAAGGCCGAGUUUUAUUUAGUGAUCACUAGACCUAGGUUAUACUCCCUGACAAGAAUAUGAUAUUCCUCCCCAACGUGGGAUCUCCUCCUUAGGAAGACAAAACAUUGGACUCCAUGUAGCUCGCAUGGUUUAUGUCAGUUACGAGAACCUUCCUUGCCCUUUUAAACUUAAAACUUUGAUGCUUAUUUUCCCUUCAUAUGAGUUAUUUUCCUAAAUGAUGGAAUUGCAAAGUUGUUCCCUAAUUAAAGUGCUUCCCUGAGGUGGGUUAUUUCCCUAAAUAAAAGUAUCUUCCCUUGAUAUGGUACUUUUCAUAAAGCUUUGAGAUAAGUUAUUUCCUUGAGCUAGAAUACUUUUCCAUUUGAGAUAGAAUGAUUUUCCUAAAGCUUGAAAUGAGAUAUUUUCCUAAGGUGAAUGAAAUGCCUUCAAAUAUAUUUCCAAGUCAUAUGAUUCCGAAUUCCAAGUAUAUGAGUUCUAAAUAAUUAUGAAAUGUUGAGCAUUGAAGAGGUUUUACUCUCCAUGAGAUAUAUGCAUGAGUUUAAAGUAUUGUUCAAAGUCCCUUAGCCUUUGGGUAUUGAGAAUAAGAGAAGUUUUCUGAUUUUUAAGGUUAAAGAGCAAUGACUCAUGAGAUUUGUGUUGCAUGCCUCAUUCUACAUAAUUUAUGAGCUUUAUAUUUUAUACUUGUUCAAGCCAUGUGAGUCGUCUCAUUUUCCAUACAUGAUUUGAUUGAAGAAGAUUAGUACUAUUUUUAUACAUAUGCAUUCACCCCCGCAUACUCAGUAAAUUCCAAAGUACUGAUUUACAUAUAUGUCUAUGUUCUACAUUAUCUUAUAAUGUAGGUUUAGGUGCUCAGUCCUAGCCUUAUCCAUGAUUCUUUGAGUACCUUGCCUACGUUUUUUGCAGUGGUGAGUCCUUAUGGUUCUUGGACUGAUCUUCAGAUAUUUUCUGUAUUUUAGAGACUAUGUUUUACCUUUAGUUCAUUCGAUUCAGUUGGUGACCUAUCCCAAUGGCUCUCUAGUUUUCAAUUCAUAGAGGUUUUGUCAGACUAGUAUCAUAUUUGUGGUGUGUUGAGGGUUUGGUAUUGUUGUUUUGUUGAGGUUUCUUUGUAUUGUGGUCAUAUGGACCUAGUAUCUUUCUUGUAUUUCCUUUAAUGUGAUAUGACUAUGUGAGUGUUGAGUCUAUUUCAUCUUGAAUUGAGUGUUAUUGGUAGAAAUCGGCUCUAACGGUUAGCUUUGGACUACUUGUAGCCUUAAGCACCGUGUGACAUCCUGGGAGAUGAUUUUGGAUCAUUACAAACUUGGUAUCAGAGCCUAAGGUUUCUAAGGAGUCCUAGGGAGUCUGACAAGCCGCGUUCAGUAGAGUCUUGAUCAUCGGUGUGUAGCAUCCCAUAUCUAUGAGCAAGAGGCUAUGAGAUGUUCUAGGAAAAGUUAUUUUUUCUUUUAGAUUCUAUCAUGCCUAUGUUAUCCCUCUUAUCUAAUAAUCCCUGCUCUUUUAUUUUCAGAAAAUGCCUCCUCGAAGAGCGAAUGUCUGCGGAAAUAAUGAUGAGCAACCCCCACCUAUUAAUUCUUUGAAUAAGACGGUCCUAUGUUGAGUUUUAGGCGGCCUUUCAGGUGUUAGCCUAAACGAUCACCAUAAAUAUUUAGGCCAAUAACCAGGCCCUAGUUUUUAAUCAACAGGGUGGUGAUGUAGCUGCGGCUAGAAUUCAUGACUUUAUACGGAUGAAUCUACCUAAUUUCUACGGGUUCAAGGUGGAUGAGGACCCCCAGUUGUACUUGGAGGAGGUGAGGAAGAUCACUAAUGUGAUGCAAGUUUUGGAAGAAAAAAGUGUUGUGUUGGCGUCCUAUAGACUGAAGGACAUUGCUUAUGAUUGAGUUGUAUCGUGGAAGAAUGGUAGAGGUGAGAAUACCGCUCUUAUGACUUGGCAAUUAUUCCAAGAUACCUUCUUGGACCAGUUCUUUCCAUUUGAGAUAAGGGACGCAAAGAUUGAGGAGUUCAUGAAAUUGAGGCAGGGCUCUAUGGUUGUUAAGGAGUACUGCUUGAAGUUUAAUCAGUUGGCCAAGUACGCUCCUGAUUUGAUUUCUGACACUCGGUCUAGCAUGAGUAAGUUUGUGAUGGUAUUUCUGAGAUGGUAUUGAAGGAGUGUAGGCUUGUGAUGUUGCAUAAGGAUAUGGAUCUGGCUAGGUUGAUGAUGCAUACCCAAUAUAUAGAGGUGGAUAAUCUUAGAGAAAGAGAUAAAAUGAGGGGUAGCAAAGGGCUAGAUCUGAGCAAUAUGAGUUUAGCCGACCUAGGUUCCAUGAAGGGGACUGCCCCCAGUUUCAAAGAUGACUGUCUAUUCCAGUGCCUUCAUCAGCUAGUUCUCUCAUGCCUAGAGGUAGGCCGGAGCAAGGGAGCAAGUCUUUCAUGUAUGGGUUGGAAAAUAGUAUUGGUAACCAGCCCUGUUAUCCUCCUUGUGCUAAAUAUGGUAGGAAUCAUCUUGGGGAGUGUUUCAGGGAUGUGAGGGGUUGUUUUGGUUGUGAAAAGUAGGGCCACAGACUUAGAGAUUCUCCCAUGAGAGAUAGGGGUACAGAGAUGCUUGACCUCAGGCACAGGCUGCUAGUGCACCAUCUCCGGUACUUUGUCCCGCCCCUGCUCAGGGCACUUCUUCUAGCAUCGCUAGCAGUCAGCACCAGAACAUAUUCUAUGCCUUGCCACCCCAUUGGGAGCAUGAGGACUCUCCUGAUAUUGUUACAGGUAUGAUCCGUCUCUUUUGUCUUGAUAUUUAUGCGUUGUUGGACCCUGGGUCAAAUCUCUCUUAUGUGACCCCACUUUUAGAUGUGAAUUUCAAAAUGAGUCCCCAAAAUAUUCUCGAGCCUUUCCUAGUUUCUACUCCAGUCGAAGAGUUAGUUGUUGCUAAACAAAUGUAUGGAGGUUGCCCUGUUACUAUGCUUCAUAGAGUCGUACCCGCUGGUUUGAUAGAGUUAGACAUGGUAGAUUUUGACCUUAUUCUGGGUAUGGAUUGGUUUCAUUCUUGCUAUGCAUCUAUAGAUUGUCAUACCCAUAUGGUCAAGUUCUAUUUUCCUGAUAAACCAGUGAUUGAGUGGUCUAGGAGUUUGGCAUCUCCCAAGUGUCAUUUUAUCUCCUAUACCAAAGCCAGAAAACUAAUAUCCAAAGGUUGCAUUACCACCUAGUUAGAGUCAAGACACUCAUUUCGAGGCUCCAACUAUUCAGUCAGUCGAUAUUAUUAAUAAGUUUCCAGAUGUCUUUUCGGAUGAUCUCCCAAGGGUACCUCUCGAUAGAGAGAUAGAGUUCGGAAUUGAACUUCUUCCUGACACUCAACCUAUUUCUAUUCUGCCAUACCAUAUGGCACCCGUAGAGCUUAAGAAAUUGAAGGAUCAACUCAAAGAUCUCUUACAUAAAGGUUUUAUUAGACCCAGUAUUUCUCCUUGGGACGCACCUGUGUUAUUUGUAUGGAAGAAGGACAGAUCUUUUCAUAUGUACAUUGAUUACCGUCAACUGAACAAGGUCACAAUAAAAAUUAAGUAUCCUCUUCCAAGAAUUGAUAACCUAUUCAAUCAGUUUCAAGGUGCAGGUUAUUUCUCUAGGAUAGACCUUAGAUUCGUCUAUCAUCAACUUGAGGUGAGGGAAUUUGAUAUUCCAAAAUUGGCCUUCCAAACCUAUUAUGGUCACUUUUAGUUUCUAGUUAUGUAUUUCAGGCUAACCAAUGCUCCAAAAACUUUUAUGGACCUCAUGAUUCGAGUGUUCAAGCAGUAAUUUGAUAUGUUUGUCAUUGUAUUCAUAGAUGAUAUCUUUGUGUACUUCCUUGAUGAGAAUGGCUAUACGAAUUAUCUUAGAAUUGUCUUGCAAACUCUUAGAGAUCACCAGUUCACCAAAUUUAGUAAGUGUGAAUUCUGGCUAAGGUCUGUUGCCUUUUUGGGUCAUGGUGUUUCAGCCAAAGGUAUUAGAGUCGAUCCCCUAAAGACAGAAGCUGUGAAAAGUUGGCCUAGACCUAUCUCUCCAUCCGAUAUUAGGAGUUUCUUGGGUCUAGAGGGCUGUUACAAUCAUUUUGUUGAGGGUUUCUCUUCUAUUGCGUCUCCUAUGACCCGGUUGACCUAAAAGAAAGUUAAAUUCUAGUGGCCUAAUUCCUGUUAGAAGAGUUUUUCAAGAGUUGAAGACUCGACUCACUUCAGCCCCUGUGUUGACUUUGCCUGAUGGUACUGAUGGUUUUGUGGUGUAUUGUGAUGCCUCUAGAGUUGGUUUGGGUUGUGUGUUGAUGCAGAGAGGUAAGGUUAUAGCCUCUGCCUCUAGACAGUUGAAGCCGUAAGAAAAGAACUACCCGACCCAUGACCUUGAGUUAGCUGCUGUAGUCUUUGCUUUGAAAAUCUAGAGACACUAUCUUUAUGGUGUCCACGUUGAUGUGUUUACUGAUCAUAAGAGCCUGCAGUAUGUAUUUACCCAUAAGGAGUUGAAUCUUAGGUAGAGAAGGUGGUUGGAGUUAUUGAAAGAUUAUGAUAUGAGUGUGUUGUAUCACCUAGGCAAGGCCAAUAUAGUGGCGGAUGCCCUUACCAAAUUAUUUAUAGGUAGCGUUGUGCAUAUAGAGGAGGGUAAGAGACAGUUAGCUCAUGAGAUACACUGUCUGGAUAGGUUGGGAGUUAGAUUUCUUGAUUCAGCGGAGGGAAGUACAUUGGUGCAGAGUAGUUCUGAAUCCUCUUUAGUUUUGAAAGUGAAGGAGAAGCAAGAUAGAGACCCUAGUUUGGUCAAAUUAAAAGUGUCAGUUAAGGACCAAAAGGUAGAGGUUUUCUCCCAAGGGAGUGAUGGUGUGUUAAGGCUGCCUGGUAAGUUGAGUGUCCCAUGUGUUGAUGAAUUGAGGUAGAGAAUUAUGGAUGAAGCUCAUGGCGCAUAUUAUUUCAUUCAUCCUGGCACUACCAAGAUAUACCGUAAUUUGCGGGAAUUCUAUUGGUGGAAUGUUAUGAAGAAGGAUACAGCCGAGUUUGUAGCGAGGUGUGCAAUAUGUCAAUAAGUUAAGGUAGAGCACCAAAGGCUGGGUAGUAUGAUGCAAGAGUUUCGUAUACCCACUUUGAAGUGGGAGAUUGUGAAUAUGGACUUCGUGAUCGGGUUACCUCUUUUGCGCUGUCAUUAUGAUUCUAUUUGGGUUGUUGUGGAUAGGCUGACUAAUUCCGCACACUUCUUGUCUGUGCAUACGUCUUAUACGACUGAGGAUUAUGCUAUAUUGUAUAUCUGGGAGUUGGUCAGGCUGCAUGGAGUUCCCUUGUCUAUCAUUUUGGAUAGGGGUACUCAAUUUACUCCUAGUUUUAGAGGGCGUUUCAGCAGGGUUUUGGUACCUAAGUUUUUCUGAGUUCCGCAUUUCACCCACAAAUAGAUGGUCAGGCUGAAAGGACCAUUCAGACCCUGGAGGAUAUGUUGAGAGUAUGUGCCCUCGAUUUCAAAGGUAGUUGGGAUGAGCAUUUGCCAUUGAUUGAGUUUGCCUAUAACAAUAGUUUCUAUGCUUGCAUUGAGAUAGCACCGUUUGAGUCCUUGUAUGGUAGGAGGUGUAAAUCACCCAUAGGUUUAUUUGAAGUGGGUGAAGCUACCGUAAUUGGGCCCGAUGCAGUAUUUAAAGCCAUUGAGAAAGUUAAGUGUAUUAGAGAAAGGUUAAAGAUGGCUCAAAGUCGUCAAAAGUCUUAUGCCGAUGUGAGGAGGAGAGAUCUUGAGUUUAAGGUGGGUGAUUUGGUGUACUUGAAGAUUUCACCCAUGAAAGAGGUGAAAAGGUUUGGUAAGAAGGGAAAAUUGUGUCCUCGUUAUGUUGGUUCAUAUAGAGUCUUGAGCCAUGUUAGUAUAGUGGCCUAUGAGGUUGAGUUGCCCUCAAAAUUGUUAGCCGUUCAUCCUAUAUUUCAUGUCUCUAUGCUCAAGAAGCAUAUUGGUGAUUCUAUUAUGGUUGAUCCUUCAGAGAGUGCUGAGAUUCAAGAUAGUCUUUCCUUCAAUGAAAUUCUUGUUGAGAUCUUAGACUUUCAAGUCCGUAGGUUGAGGAACAAAGAAGUUACCUUGGUCAAAGUGUUGUGGCGGAACCAUUCUGUUGAGGGUGCUACUUGGGAGGCAGAAGAAGACAUAUGAGCCAAGUACCCGCACCUUUUUUCCAUGGGUUCAGACCAAGCCGAAGGUACUAUUCUUCCUUAAUUCAGCUCUUCUAAUCUAAAGUUCAGCUAAGCAUCUAUCCUUGUAUGAUUUGUUGCAUUUUAUAGAGUAUUAAUGACUUUAGAAAAAUCUUAAACCGUUUAGAAAUUGUUUCAUCUAUGUGUACUCUGUUUUUCCUAUAUUCCUAGCCUAAUUCAUGACAUUUGAGGAUGAAUGUUCCCAAGGGGGAGAUAUUGUAAGGUCCCACAAAGUUCCCUCGUAGUGUUCCCAAGGGGGAGAUAUUGUAAGGUCCUACAAAGUUCCCUCGUAGUUUGAUCCUUAGGGCGUGUCGAGUGAGGCGUGAUUCUGGCCUUACAAAAUUGAGAAGUGGCUUCCUAAAUGAGUAUCGUGUUAACCAUAUAGAAUUUCCCUAAUUUCAACUUUUUAUCAUUUGGGAAAUUUGAUAAGCUUUCCAUCGAUAUAAGAUUCGCCCAAAUCCGAUACCCGGGUAAGAAGUUAUGGCUAAUUUAAGUCUUAGUCGUGAAACUGUGUCAUUUUAGUUCUUGGCGCAUCGCGGAGAGGGUCGAUUGACAAUUGUCAAAUUCCAGUGGAACUCUACGAUAUUAGUGCAUCGUGCUGAGGUUCCAGGUCUAAACUAGUGAGAAAAUGCGAUGGUUCCGCGUCGCGUUGGCUCCCGUAUUGCCAAUUAUCAAUUUCCAGUGAGCCACCGCGAUAAGUGGCGCAUCGCGGUGACCCCUUAAAUCGGGUUCCCAGUUCAAUUUUUCCAGCUUCGUACAGAUGUUAAAAGGGGCAUUUUGGACAUUUUUCAAGCCUAUAAAACCGUGCAAACAUCAAAUCAAAGUCAUUUACAAGCAUCCUAUAAGGUUUUUCUCAAGUUUUCUCUCAUAAAAAACCAUAAGUAUCCAAAACCUUUUCCAAGAAUCUCAAGAAUCCACCAUGGAUUUUCUAAAUUGAGUCAAAAUUCAAGGUUCCCAAGUCAAGGGCCGGGCCUCAAGAAUCCUCAAUCAAGAGUACGAAUAGAGUUCCAAAAGUGAGAGUUCAUCGAAAGCUUCUACUUCAAGGUACGUGGGGUUUUGAACAAGGGUAUCUCUUUCACCCUUGUGCCCAAAAAACUUAUUUACAUCAUGAUUUUGCUGAAAUCUAUGGGGUUUUUACAUGAAUUUGAAUUAAAAAUUUUCACCCAUUAUUAUGGAAUGCAUUACCUUGGUAUUUCCCAUAAAUUGAGAGUUAAAUGACAUGAUUUCUACAUGUUUUCUAGAGUUUAUGACAUGAUUUCUACAUGUUUUCUAGAGUUUUUAUAGCUGGGUAUAAACCCCAUGAUUUUACUUCUUGAUAAGCUAAUAUUUGCAAUGUUUGAGGCGGUGAAGCAUAUGCCUAAAUUGAGAUUUUGAGAUAUAUUCCUGAAAUUCCUAGAUUUCUACAUGAUUUAUGAAUCUAUAUGCUUUAUAUAUUAUGCUUUUGAUAUGCUUUAACUUGAUAUUGAACUAUGGGUUAGUAAGACCUAUUUGAGAUUUGUGAAAUUAUGAACUCUUGUGCUAUAAGCACCCAUAUUUUGAGUAUUUUGAGAUGAUUGAGAAAUGAAUUGACCUAAUGGUCCAAAAGCUUUGAAGUCCACUUCAUCAUAUGAGAUUAUCGAUUUGAUUAUUGGGUUCAUGGUGAACCAUGAGAUUAUUAUAAAAGUGGAUUUUUAUGAGAUGAGCGCAGAUAAUCUAAAGGGAGUAGUACUUAUCACCGAGCGGGUAAGUCACUACGGUUUCUUACCCCAAAACUAUGUGCCACCAAAGGUUGGGCCUGAGGCCGAGUUUAUAAUGAUUAUGAUUAGGCCUGAGGCUGAGUUUCAUUUAGUGAUCACUAGACCUAGGUUAUACUCCCUGGCAAGAGUAUGACGCUCCUCCCCAAUGUGGGGUCUCUUCCCUAGGAGGACAAAAUGUUGAACUCCAUGUAGCUCAUAUGAUUUGUGUCGGUUAUGAGAACCUCCCUUGCCCUUUUAAACUUUGAAAUUUGAUACUUAUUUUCCCUUCCUAUGAGUUAUUUUUCUAAAUGGUGGAAUUGCAACGUUGUUCCCUAACUAAAGUGCUUCCUUGAGGUGGGUUAUUUUCCUAAAUGAAAGUAUCUUCCCUUGAUAUAGUACUUUUCAUAAAGCUUUGUGAUAAGUUAUUUUCUAGGGCUAGAAUACUUUUCCAUUUGAGAUAGAAUGAUUUUCCUAAAGCUUGAAAUGAGAUAUUUUCCUAAGGUGAAUGAAAUGCCUUCAAAUAUGUUUCCAAGUCAUAUGAUUUCGAAUUCCAAGUAUAUGAGUUCUAAAUAAUUGUGAAAUGUUGAGCAUUGAAGAUGUUUUACUCUCCGUGAGACAUAUGCAUGAUUUUAAAGUAUUGUUCAAAGUCCCUUAGCCUUUGGGUAUUGAGAAUAAGAGAAGUUUUCUGAUUUUUAAGGUUAAAAAGCGAUGACUCACGAGAUUUGUGUUGUAUGCCUCACUCUACAUAAUUUAUGAGCUUUAUAUUUUAUACUUGUUCAAUACAUGUGAGUCGUCUUAUUUUGCAUAAAUGAUUUGAUUGAAGAAGAUCGGUACUAUUUUUAUACAUAUGCAUUCACCCCUGCAUACUCAGUACAUUCCAAAGUACUGAUUCACAUAUAUGUCUAUGUUCUACAUUGUCUUAUAAUGUAGGUUCAGGUGCUCAGUCCCAGCCUCAUCCGUGAUUCUUCGAGUACCUUGCCUACGUUUGCGGCAGUGGUGAGUCCUCAUGGUUCGAGGAGAGAUCUUCAUAUAUUUUCUGUAUUUGAGAGACUAUGUUUUAUGUUCAGUUCAUUUUGAGUCAGUUGGGGACCUGUCCCAACGGCUCUCUAGUUUGCGAUUCGUAUAGGUUUUGUUAGACUAGUAUCAUACUUGUGAUGUGGCUAGGGUUCGGAAUUGUGGAUUUGUUGAGGUUUCUUUAUAUUAUGGACAUAUGGACGGAGUAUCUUUCUCGUAUUUCCUUUCAUGUGAUAUGACUAUGCGAGUGUUGAGUCUAUUUUAUCUUGAAUUGAGUGUUAUUGGUUGAAACCGGCUCUAAGGGUUAGCUUGGGGCUACUUGUAGCCUUAAGCACCGUGUGAUAUCCCGGGAGAUGAUUUUGGGUUGUUACACACUACCACCACCACUAAUCCCAACACCACCAACACCAAAACCGACACCAACACCAACACCAACACCAACACCAAUACCAACACCAACAACAACACCAACACCAACACCAACACCAACACUAUCACCACUAAUAUCAAUACCGGUAGUACUAACACCACUACCAAUAUCAAUUCCACCACCACCACUAUAACCAAUACUAACAUCACUGACCGAUAAUAUAAAAACCAUCAACAAAAGAAAAAUAAAUAACAAAACCAACAAUAAACAAAAUAGAAAAACAACAAACAAACAACACCAAUAGUGCCAACAAUACCACCAAAAGCCACCACUAACACCAUAAACACCAUCCAAAAACACCAUGACAGUCAACAGAUUAUUGCAACAAAAACUAGGGUUAUCUCGAGUUCUUUUUAUAUGUUUUAGCAUCAAAAACUCAAAAUUGUUAACCCAUUCUUGAAGAUAAUACAACUAAAAGUCUUUUUUAUCAUUAACUAAAAAGCUAUAAUUUUUUGAAAAAAAAAUAUAAAACUCUUCUCAAACUCUGUUACCUAUGAAGAGAGAGAAUAAGGUGGAUACAAGCAAGAAAGGUAUCAAAAAUAACAACUAUGUGGUCGAAAAUGGGAAGAAAAUCAAUCUGUUGUGAAGGGUUGAAAAAUCUAUUGAGUAGUUAUUAUUUGUAUUAUUGAGAGUGAGAAAGAGAUUUGAAAUGAGCGACUGGAUUUUCAAAAAUGAUUGAUCCCUUGCAUUUUUAUUACACAUUAAUUAUAGGUUGAUUUGUAUUUUAAAAAAGAAUGACAAGUUUUGAAAGUAUUAAUUUGGUCUCAAUUGAUCUUGAUCAAAUUUUUAAAAGAGGUAAAUUUUAACUGUUUGAUAAUAAAGAAAAUUAAUUUCACUAAAAUUGGUUUUCAGUUAUUCAGUUCAAUUGGAAAUUUAAUGAAUUUAAUAAUAAUUUAAUAUUAAUUAUAUAUCUAUAUUUGUUUGAUAAUUUUCAACAAAUAAAAAAUCUAUUCCAAUAUAUUACUCAUAUGUUGCCACAAAUGAGUAAUAUAUUGGAAAUGACCAAACAGAUAAAAUCAUUUGUUGCAAAAGAUGAGUCAUUUGUUGCAAUAGAUGAGUAUAUCUGUUUGAUAAUUUGCAAAAGUAGAAUCAUUUAUUGCAACAGGUUGAACCUGUUUUAAUAAAUUAUACAAUAGUUGAUUAUGUAAUUGCAAUGAGAUAAAUUGAAAUUAUAAUUGAACUUAUCAACUGAAAUUUUAUUCUAGAUAAAUCAAUAUAGUUAUUAUAAAUAAUGGCUAGAUUUGAAUCAUUUCUGCUCAGAUUGGUCAAUUGAUAACUCUACUCAGGAUAAACAUAUAGUUGAUCAUGUAAUUGCAAUGACAUCAACUGAAAUUAUAAUUCAACUUAUCAACUCACCUUUAACUUUAGCUAAAGCAAUUUAGUUAUUAUAAAUAAUAGCUUGAUUUGAAUCAUUUCCUCUCAAAUUAGUCAAUUGAUAACUUUAUUCAGGACGAACACGAUAGUUGAUCAUGUAAUUGAAAUAAGAUUGAUUGAAAUUGUAAUUGAACUUAUCAAAUCACCUUUAAAUUUAUCUAAAUCAAUUUAGUUAUUACAAAUAAUGGCUUGGUUUGAAUUAUUUAAACUCAAAUUGAUCAAUUAAUAACUCUACCCAGGACUAACACAAUAGUUGAUUAUGUAAUUGCAAUGGGAUCAAUUGAAAUUGUAAUUGAACUUAUCAACUCACAUUUAAUUAUAGAUAAAUUAAUAUAGUUAUUACAAAUAAUGAAUGUAUUUGAAUCAUUUCCGCUCAAAUUGGUCAAUUGAUAACUCUACUUAGGAUGAACACAAUAGUUGAUCAUUAAUUGCAAUGAGAUCAAUUGAAAUUGUAAUUGAACUUAUCAACUCACCUUUAAUUCUAGAUAAAUCAAUAUAGUUAUUACAAAUAAUGACUAGAUUUGAAUCAUUCCUUUCAAAUUGGUCAAUUGAUAACUCUAUUCAGGACGAACACAAUAGUUAAUCAUGUAACUGUAAUGAGAUCAAUUGAAAUUUUAUAAUUGAACUUAUCAAGACAUCUUUAAUUCUAGAUAAAUAAAUAUAGUUAUAAUAAAUAAUGGCUUGAUUUGAAUCAUUUCAAAUCAAAUUGAUCAAUUGAUAACUUUACUCAGGACGAAUACAAUAGUUGAUUAUGUAAUUGCAAUGAGAUCAAUUGAAAUUGUUAUUGAACUUAUCAAAUCAUCUUCAAUUCUAGCUAAAUAAAUAUAGUUAUUACAAAAAAUGGCUUGAUUUAAAUAAAUAAAGGACUAACCUGUUGCAACAGAUAACACAUAUGUUAAAAAUUGUCAAAUCGUUAUAAACAUCUGUUACAAUAGAUGAACCUGUUACAACAGAUGACUUAUCUGUUGUAAAUUAUCAAACAAAUAUAGAUAUCUGUUGCAACAAAUGACUUAUUUGUUGGAAAUUAACAAAAAAAUAUUGACAUUUAUUGCAAUAGAUGACUUAUCUGUGGUAAAUUAUCAAACAGAUAUAGACAUCUGUUGCAAUGGAUGACCCAUCCAUUGGAAAUUAUGAAACAGAUAGCAUAUCUAUUGCAACAGAUUACCAAUCUAUUGGAAGAUCUUUCUUUUUUUAAGCAAUUUUUUAUUCGGAAUUAAAAAAGAUAAAAUACUAAGGAAGAAGCUUUUUUUUUAGGAUAACUCAAAAGUCCCCCUAUUGUGUUGUCUUUUCAAUGUUACCAUUUCCUCUUUUUCUUUUUCUCAAAGGACGUAAGGACGUCCCACAACCAUAAAUAUUUAAUAAUAUUUGAACCAAACCAUCUCUAAAAUUUUCUCUCAACUUGUCAUGACCCGAAGAUACCCCCUAGUCAUAACACGGUGCUUAGAACCCCAAGUGAUCCCUAGCUCACUCAUGUACUGGCAUGAUUCUUGAGCAAAUAAUUUAAAUAUGCUAAAAUUGCUGAGCGGAAGCAUAAUCAUGAGAAAAUUUGAAUGAAUGCAAUAUUGAUAAAGUUUACAAAAUGAUAAAUAUGAAGAAAGAACUUGAACUGCAUAUCAUGACUCUGACUAAUUAUCUAUGAAGCCUCUACUAUAUUGACUAUAAAUAACUGGGAUAUGCCUCCAACUGCAACUAAUCAGUACAUAUUGAUAAUCAAAAUUACAACACAUGAACUGCAAUGUGCUGGAGUCCCCAAAAUAAGAAGACUUAUCACCUCCUGGCUGAAAGCUGCAAACUAUCUAAUUAUGAUGGGUAGGCUAUAACUGGUACCUACAUUAUGAGAUAAUGUAGCCACAUAGACGUAUAUGUGGAUCAGUACUUCUGAAAUGUACUGAGUAUGUGGAGACAUGCACUAAAUCAUAGAAAUAUUUAAAAGAUACUUUAAAAGUAAGGAUAUAAGUUAUUUGCUUAAACAUGCAUUUAAAACAUGGUUAUAUGUGAAAACUGUAAGUCAUAGUGAGAUGUUUCAUAUGGAUGUUAAAAUUGUCUCUAGAUAAACCCUAAACCUAAUACAAAAACCUACGAUAAGAUUGCGGCCGACAUGGCCACCACAGUCAGUGGGCUUGAUCCACCGAUAAACAAUUAAAAUGGUAAGAAAGACGUAAGUAAUGAGGAGAAUAAAUGAUUAUUAAACCACAAAGUUUCAUAUACAAAUAUACUAAAACCAAGAGGAGGCGAAAGUAAUAAGGAAAGAAUCCCUCCUAAACCAGUAGUAAUUCUUGAAGGGUAGCCUAGUAUAACAUGGAAAUCAUCUAAAGUAAAAAGCUUAAUUUUGCAAGAAAAUUUACAAUAUGCAGUAAUUAGUAAAUUUUCUUAUGGUAAACCUGAUAUAGUGGAGUUGAGAAAGUGUAUAAUUAUUCAAUGUGGCAUUAAGGGAGAAUGUAACAUUGGUGUGCUAGACUCAAGGUACAUUCUUAUUCGAUUGAGAAUAAUAGAAGAUUAUGCUUAUAUAAUAUCAACUGCUACAUAUUAUAUAAAAGCGAAGAAGAUGUAUUGGUAGAUGAGACCCCUUAAGUAGGAUCCAUGGUUGAGUCGGAUGUAGAAACUACUAUGGGAAUUGCAUGGAUAUCAAUGCCAGAUCUUUCUCCUAAGCACUGUUUUCAAUUGCUUCAGCAAUAGGGAAACCAUUAACAGUGGACAUAGAAACCAAGAAUCAAACUAGACCUAGAUAUGCUCAAGUUAAGGUGGAGGUAGAUCUUGUUCUAAUUUACCACAAAAAGUGAAGAUAAAUGAGGAAGAUGAUAUGAUGGGAUAGGUUAAAUCUAAAUGGAUUAGUAUUCAUUAUGAUUAUAAAUUAAAGUAUUACAAAGAGUGCUGUUUGCAAGGUCAUAAUGAAAAUUCAUAUUGGAAUAUUCAUCCUGAGUUACUUGACAAGCAAAAAGAAGAAAAAAAGGAAGCUGAAAAUACAUUAGUAUAGGGACAGAAAUAUAAUGGUUCAGAAGCAGGGAGUAAUAAUCAUAGAAGUAUAAGACAUCUCAAGUAGCAAUGGUUAACAAGGAGGAAUAAGUAUAAAUGAGACAAAUUUGGACAUAUUGUAGGGGAAGUGGAAGAAGACACUCAACCAGAUAUUCCUGUAGCUAAUACUUUUGAUGUGCUUACACAAGGGGAGCAGGAAGAAGUAAGCAAUAACAAGGAGUUGGAGAAGGAAGAGAAGCAGAUUAACCAAAGUACAAAAGAGUGGGUUCUAAAAGCUCACCAACUAAAGAAAAAAAUUUAAAAUAGGAGAGAAGAUAGAAAAUGAGAAGAUUAAUGAAAAUCAGAUAAAAAAGAUUCAGUAGAAGGAUGGGUACAAAGCGACCACUAAAAUGAACGAGGAGAUAGUAGAGCAACAAAUAGCUAAUGAGGCAAAAUAGACAAAGCAACUAGAAUUAAUGCAGAUUCAAGAAGGAGAGGAACUAGAAAAGGUGAUACAAAAUAUAUUACCUCUUGCAAUCUAAGUUGAUAAUCAGAUUGAAUACAACAAUGUGGAGAAUUUAAAUUUAGAUGAAGGAGACGUGGGGAAAAAUAUUGACAAAAUGGGAAUUGAAGGGAAUCUGUUUUCUAGGCAGAUGGAGAAGUUGAAAAUAACUUAAGGCAUAUAGAGAAAGAAAGAUAAAGAAGUUAAAGCUUCUUCAAUGCAGACUAGGAGUUCUCUUAAAAAUAAGUUUAAAUGAAUACAUUAAUCUGGAAUAUCAUAUCAAUAAACACUCAGAAGGACGACUUAUUAUUUUGUUCAAAAGAUAUCACUUUUCAUUCAUUGGUUUAAUGGAACCUUUCCAAGAAAACCAAACUAUUGAAGAGUACAAGAGGAAAUUAGGUAUGAAACAUACAACAAGAAAUUCUUCAUGUAAACUAUGGGCUUUUAUUGAUGAUUUAGUGGAGUGUGCUGUAAUAAAAGAUGAGGAUCAAUAAAUGACCAUUAAAUUUGUCAAUUUGGCAACAUGCAUUUCAGUAGUGGUUACAUUGGUGUAUACUAAAUAUUCUGAAGUAGAGAGAUUAAUGCUAUGGGAUUCAUUGGAAGAUAUGGCUCAGAUAAUCCAAGAUCCAUGGUUGAUAGGGGGAGAUUCUAAUGUAAUUAUAAGUGAGGAGGAAAGAUUAAGAGGUCUUCCAGUUAUUGUGGCUAAAAUAGAGGACUUCAAGAAAUGCAUUAAUCUUUGUGGUUUGGAAAAUCCAGGUUUUAAGGGGAGCAAAUAUACUUGGUGGAAUAGAAAGAAUUAUGAAGGGUGUAUUUUUAAGAGGUUAGAUAGGGUACUUUAUAAUGACAAAUUACAGGACCUUUUUCCAAUACUGGAGGUGGAACAUCUGUUUAGGAGUGGAUUUGAUCAUACUCCUUUGAAAAUUCAUUUCAAAACAGUUAAUGAGCAUAUUCACAAACCUUUUAGGUUUCUUAAUAUGUGGUUAAAAGAGAAGGCUUGUUUUAAAUUAAUAAAGGAUAACUGGGUUACUGAUAUGAUGGGAAAUCCUUUCAUCAUUUUCUAUCAUAAGUUGAAAAGGGUUACAACAACUUUGGCAAAAUAGAGUAAAGAGUAAUAUGGUAACAUUUUCUAGAAAAUUGCUACACUGGAGGAGAUUAUCAAAGUAAGGGAGAAAUAAUUUGAGGAGGAUCAUCUGGCCAUAAUAGACAAAUUCUAUUCAAAGCACAAGCAGAGUUGAAUUUAUAAUUAAAGAGGGAAAAAGUUUUUUGGAGGAAGAAGGUUGGGUUUGAGUAGUUUAAAGAAGGGGAAAGAAAUACUAAAUUCUUUUAUAUAGUUGUGAAGGGAGAAGAAGAAGGCUUAAAGUUUCAAGAAUAGAAAUGAUGAAGGGGAAUGCUAGAAGAUCAAAAUGAAGUAGCAUAAGAAGUUAUGAAUUUCUUUCAGAGACAGUUUAGUAAAGGGGAAGAUAAUGAAGAUUUUGAAAUGCUUAAUGAACUACCUACUGUAGUGACCCAUGAGCAGAAUAAUAAAAUGAACAAGAUUCUUAAAAUUCAAGAAGUCAAGAAAGCUAUAAUAGGACUGAAUAGGAACAGUAUCAGGGGUCCAGAUGGUAUGACAGAAGCAUUUUUCUAGGAUGCUUGGGAGAUUAUUGGCAAGGAUAUUCAUAAUAUGGUUAUAGAUUUAUUUUGUGGAUUUGAAUUGCCAAAAUUUGUUACACAUACAAGUUUGGUACUUUUACCUAAGAAGUUAGUUGUAAACAAAUUUUUUGAUAUCAGACCAAUCUUAUUGAGUAAUUUUGUGAACAAGAUCUUCUCUAAAAUUAUUUAUGAGCAGAUUAAAAGAGUUUUACCUCAGAUUAUAUGAAAAGAACAGGUUGGUUUUAUGCAGGGAAGAAGCAUUGCAGAGAAUAUUUUAAUCGUUCAUAAAAUAAUUACAGAUACAAGGAAAAAAGGUAAGAUUCCCAAUAUGGUAAUCAAACUUGACAUGAUGAAAGAUUAUGAUAGAGUAGAGUGGUUGUUUCUCACAAAGGUAUUAAGAAAAGUGGGAUUUAGUGAGUUUAUGAUUGAUAUGGGAUACAAGCCAGUGGGAAACAAUUGGCAUUCUAUUUUGCUAAAUGGGUAAUCAAAUGGUUUUUUCAGAUCCUCUAGAGGACUAAAAUAGGAGGUUCCACUACCCCCCACUCUCUUUAUCAUAGCAACAGAGGUAAUGUCUAGAGCAUUCAGAUCUUUGAUGUUUAUAAGAGAUUUCAAGUUAUUUGUGAUGCCAAGAAAAAGUCCUAAGGUGAAUCACUUUGCAUCUGCAUAUGACAUGAUAGUUAUUACAAUGCAGAAAGUGACUAACACUUUACAGAAGUAUGAAAGUGUAAGACCCUGCAAAGUCCUAGUCAUUUCAGUCCUAUAUAGCAUCUCAAAAAGGUCCCAAACUUAGAAAAUUUAAUCCAAGUGUUGACACUUAGUCUCAUUUUUGGCCUUGAUAUUUCAGUGGCAUCAUUUAUGAUCUUUCCAGCCUUAGAUUGUUGAUUUUUAAAUUAAUUCAUGAUCAGGGAUGUCAAUAGGUCAUAUUUGGUGAGUUUUAGAAUUUUCUAACAUUAUUUGGGCCAUGUUUGGAUGGCCAAAAUAGCAAACCAAUGCGAUCUCGACGUGUCACAUUGGCUAUCGUAUUGAUAGCAUCAACGCAGUGCGUCGACAAUUAUAUCGACACCAUUGAUGCGACGCGUUGCUUGCUGCAUUGUUGGGCGUAUUUUGCUAAUUAAAUUCCAACUUUACAAGGGUAAUUAGGUCCUUUUCCCCUCACCCAAUUCAGCUACAACAUGAAAUUUAACCUCUCAAAGGGUAAAAUUGACUCAGUAUCUCACAAAUACUCUGAAGAACAAAGCCCUAGUUUCAUCAAGUUCAAGUCCAAGUCCUAAGAAUUCACCGCAAUUCCCAUGAAAUAAAUAAUCAAGGUAUGUUAGGUGUUCAUACUUGGGUCUCCUUCCACCCUUAGAGUUCAAUAACCCUUUUUAAAAACUACAAGUUUUUAGAUUUAUGAUUUACAUAUACAAAUUGGGUUGUAUUUAUGUUUGUGUUAUUGUAUGGGUUUCAAUUCAAGAUUUAACUAUAAGUUUCAUGAACAUAGGAUAGUAUGCAUGUUGAUUGAUGUAAUUCCCACGUUAAAACUCUUGAAAUUGCAAGUUUAAUUUGUAGUCAUGACGCUUAUGUGUUGUUCAUUAUCAUGUCCAUUAAUCAUGCCCCUGAAGUAUUUGAUAAAAUGUCCAUAUAAGUAAAUUAUGCAUGGUAACCUAUUGUUGUGUUGCUAAAGUUGUGACAUGAGUUUAUCAAUUAUGCUAUCGAGUACUGGGGGUAUUUAUUACCCAAAAUCUAGUUUUUUACUUAGUUGCAGUAGUUAUCGAAUAGUCCCAGUAAAGGUCAAGAAUAGUAGUACUCAGUCAGUAACAGAACUCUGUGAACUCAGUCCAGUUCAGUCAAUCAAUAUGAUCAGUGUCAGUUCAGUUAAGCCUAGUACAGUCUAGUGAUUAGUUCAGUGUCGAUUCGGUUAGGAGUAUGAUUCAGUACCGAGCGAACCUAGGAAUAGGGGUAUUCCUGCCACCAGAGGGUUUGACCCUUAGUAGUAGUCCUUGCGUUACAGUACUACGUAGCCAACAUAGGCUAAGUCAUCCUCUUACCAGACUAGGAUUGAUGCCAUCAUAUAUAUAUAUUUAAUGAGUCUUCCUGCCAUAUUAGGGUUGACCCUGUAUUGUUAGUAUCCCAUGGUAAGGUACUAGAACCCUUCCAACUGAGGUCACAGGUUGGACCCUAAAUCAAUCUAUAUCGGGGUAGGUCAGUUGGAUGAACACUCCCAUAGUUACAGUUUAGUCUCAGUAUUUAGUAAAGAACACAAUCAGUUCUAUAAAACCAUGGCUAUUAGUUAUUAGUUACUCAACCAUCAGAAUUCAGUACUCAGUUUUAGUAUAAUCUCAGAUACACGAUGUAUACCUAUAUACAUAGUAUUACAUGUUUAGUAUAUUCAGUAGUUACAAUUUUGCAUGUACUCACAUCUAGUUACUUCGUGAUGUUCAUUCAGUCAAUUAUCAUCUCAUGUAUAUGAGCCCAUGUAUAUUAGCAUUACCCCACUUAGCAUACUAGUACUUCCACGUAAUGAUGCGUACUCUCCUUUUUGCACUAUGAUGCCUCAUAUCAUAGGUUCGGACGCUCAGGCUCCUAACCAUAUUUAGCAGCUCAAGCUAUCAGCAGCAGAUAUAGUGGUGAGUCCUCAUAUUUUGAGGACAGAGUUUAUCUAUUUUAGUAUUUCAGUAGUUCAGUAGUUAUUUCAAUCGGAGUUAGUUGGGGGUUUGUCCCAUAAACUCCAUAUUCAGAUAGUUAGAGGCUUUCAGACUAGUAUUGCUAGUUAUUUAGUUUUCAGAUAUUGUUUUCAAUUAUACUCAGUUAUUAUUUCAAUAUUUUGAAAACCUUAUGGCAUUUUUAGAUCUCUUUUGUAUAUAUAAUGCUCAUAGCAAGUACCAUUCAUGGGUUAGCUUAUGGUUCUUUGGGAUUGUAAGUACCGUGUGAUGCCCAGGGUGUAGUCUCGGGGCAUUACAGAAAGAAUGUCAAAUCAAAAAUUGAAUAAGGAGAAAAGCUCGCUAUAUUUAUAUAAGGGAGUUUCUCAUGGUGUUGUUGUUCUGGCAAAAGUGGUUAAUGGAAUUUUAAAGAAAAACUUUCCUUUCAACUACCUUGGGUGCCCUGUAUUUCACAUGAGAAAGAAGAAGGAUUACUAUCAGACAAUUAUGAGCAGAAUCAGUGGGAAGUUACAGGGAUGGAAUGGGAAGAUGGUGUCUUACAGGGUUAGAGAUACUCUCAUCAAACAUGUGUUACAAAUCAUCCCAAUCCAUGGUUUGUCAUUGAUGAACCCUUCUCUCAAUGUUAUGACUACUAUUCAUUGAAUGUUUACUUAAUUUUUCUAGAGUACUCAUAUAGGGGGAAAGAGGAUAAACUAGGUUAAAUGGAGAAAGUUGUGUGUGUUGAAGGAAGAGCAAGGAUUAGGGUUCAGGAAUAUCAAAGAUGUUUCAAUGGCCUUAUUCUGCAAGCUAUGGUGGAAUUUUUGAAAAAAGACUCAAUAUGGAGUAGAUAUAUGUAUAAUAAGUAUUAUAGGAAACAUCAUCCAAAUAAGAUUGUGUGAAAAAUAGGAGUUGGAUCUCAGGUUUGAAAGAAGAUGUUACAUGCAAGGGAUUUAGUGGAGCAUCAAAUAAUAUGGAGAAGCAAAAGUGGAAACACAAAUUUGUGGUUUGAUAAUUGGACCAGGGAAGGAGAUUUGUAUACUUUGGUGCAGAAUUCAAGGGAUUAGGACAAUAAUUAUCAAAAGGUGAAAGAUUUAAUGUAGGAUAGAGCUUGGAAUGAGCAGGUGAUGUCUCAAAUGUUUCCAGUAGAGAUUUCAGAUCAUAUCAUUCAAACAAGCAGGAUACUAAAAAGGAGAGAGAUGAUCGAUAUUCCAAUGUGAAAGCUUGAUCCCACUGGAAAUUUCACCAUCAAAUCAACUUGGAACUACAUUAGACAAAGGGAGGAGAAGAAUAUAUUAUACAAGAAUAUAUGGAUCAAGGGUUUGCCUUUUAAAAUGGCCUUCUUAAUAUGGGCAGUAGAUCAUAAUUUGAGAAGAUGGGAGAUUGAAGGGCGUACUAGGUGCUGGUGUUGCACCACGCCAGAUCAAGAAACUACUUCACAUGUGUUUCUUCAGUUAGGCACUGCUAACAAGACAUGGUCAUAUUUCUCUUGUUUUGAAGGUAUUAAUAUGAAUAAAGCAAGCAUCAGAGAACUUAUCAUAAAUUGGUGGAAAGAUGAAGUGUCAGGAAUAGUUAGAGCCUACUAUCAAUCUAUUCCCAGUAUGAUAUUGUGGGAAUUGUGGAGAAAAAGGAAUAGCUCUAAGUGUGAAGGUAAAAAUUUGUCAACUCAUAGGGUAAUAUUCAAUAUUAAUAGAAAUAUUGGAUUAUUACUCAAGGUGAGAAAUCCGAGAAAAUUUUUUUCCAGCUAUGUGUCCAGAUAUAAAGCAUGAUUUAGAAAACAGAAGAUCCAGAGUAAAGAUCACAUGGGUAGAAUGGAAGUUUCCAUAGGAGGGAUGGAUUAACUACAACACGGAUGGGGUUUUUAGAGGUAAUCCUGGUGUGAGUCUUAUGAUUUUUGCCUAAGGGAUGAAAGAGAAGAUCUAAUUUAUGCACAAGGAUUACUACAAAUAUGUAAGCAGAAGCAUAUGCUAUUCUUAAAGAAGAAAUUCACUAUGGGCAAUCUGAAUUAAGGUCAUUUUUCAAACGGAUUCUCUUAUCAUGUUGAAGAUACUGACUAAUGAAUGGAGAUGUCCAUGGAACUUGCUAGAUUCUAUAGAUCAUAUUAGAGAAACACUGAAAGAAAAACAAGUUCAAUUCCCACACAUAAUGAGGAAGGGAAUUAGUUGGCUGAUCAUUUAACAAAUUUAGCAAUAGACAAAGGGAUUUCAGCAUAACAUCAUUUCAAUAAUUAUAAGUUAAAGGAAAGAAGAUCCUUAACAGUGAAAAGCUACAAUGUCCAUACAUUAGAUUAUCAUUAACAAAACGAUGAUAAGAUUGAAGGCCACAGUAAAGUACUACCAGGGAUCACAAGCAAACAUUUAUAAUACAGGAGGGCAAUAACAAAACCCAAAAACUGACUUACCUGUAUAAAUUCAUCCAUAAAAAAGACUCUUAGUAAUAUCUAUGCAUCUAAUACACCUGAGAAGUAGAAGGUAGUUCAAAUAUUUAUGGCUCCGAGUAUCCAGUUAUCUCCCUCCCAGCCACAUCUGUACGCAAAGAGGAGUAAAUAGGAAGCUACAAUUGAGAAAGAAGGAUAGAUAGAAGAAAUCAUAGUUUAUGUGGACAUGCAAUUAGUCUUAAGGACCUACGAUCCUUAAUUAAGCACCAAAAAAGAAGAAACAUUCCAUCCACCAAAGAACUCACCUAUAUACAAGCAGAAAUAGAGGAAAAAAGUUUAAAAAUGAAGAAGUUGAGAUGAAUAGUAAUAUUCAAAGGCAACAAAGGGAUAAAUUCUUACUUUUGAGAGAUGAAGAUAGUACAGUAUCGACGAUCUAGGGCAAAGUGUUGAUGACCCAAAGCACAAGCAAGAUAAAUUAAAGAUUCAGGGGAGAGCGCAUCAUUUUUCACCUGGAAAUGAGCUUAAUCAGCGGAGAAGAAGACAACAAAGUGAAUUAGGAAACCCUAAGGGACCUUGUAUACGUCUCAAUCAAUUAGGUUUGGC
rnacentral:lncRNA from 1 species